AAUCUUGGCUCACUGCUGCCCCAACCUCCCAGGCUCAAGCGAUCCUUCCACCUCAGCCUCCUGAGCAGCUUGGACUAAAUGCAUGUGCCACCAUGCCUUGCUAAUUUUUAAAUUUUCUGUAGAGACAGGGUCCCCCUAUGUUGCCUAGGUUGGUUUGGAACUCCUAGCCUCAAGCGAUCCUCCCACCUCAGCCUCCCAAAGUGAUUUUUUUAAUAGCCCAAGGGUGCUUCUAAACCUUACAAGUGCUUUGAAAUAGCAGUGUCAAAUAAAAAUAUAAUUCAUGCGUGAGCCACUGCAUCCAGCCACUAAAUUUUCUAAUAGCCACAUAGAAGAAGAAAUAGGGCCAGGCACAGUGGCACAUGCCUGUAAUCCACGCUUUGUGGCACUGAGACAGGAGGAUUGUUUGAAGCUAGGAGUUUGAGGCCAGCCUGGGCAACAUAGUGAGACCUGGUCUUUACAAAAAAUUAGCUAGGCAUGGUGGUGCAUGCCUGUAGUCCCAGCUACUCAGGAGGCUGAGGCUGGAGGAUGGCUUGAGCCCAGGAGAUCAAGGCUGCAGUGAGCUAUGAAUGGGCCGUCACACUCCAGGUUUGGUGACAGAGGAAGACCUUGUCUCAAAAAAAGAAGAAGAAGAAAAAACAAGUGAAACUAAUUUUAAUUACUUGUAUUUAUUUAUUUUUUUGUGUGCAACAGGGUCUCACUUUGUCUCGCAGGCUGGAAUAUAGUGGCGUGAUCACAAGGCUUACCGUAGCCCUUGACCUCCCAGGCUCAAGUGAUUCUCCCACUGCAGCCUCCCGAGUAGCUGGGACUAUGGGUGCACACUACCAUGCCUGGCUAAUUUUUCUAUUUGUUUUAGAGACGGAUUUCACCAUGAUACCAGGCUGGUCUGAAACUCCUGGGCUCAAAGGAUCAGCCCGCCUUGGCUCCCAAAGAGCUGGGAUUACAGGCGUGAGCCACUGCACCCAGCCUAAUAAUAUAUUUUACUUAACCCCAUGCAUCCAAAACAUCAAUAUGAACAUAUCAGUGAAGUAUUUUAUAUUCUUUGUUUUCAUACUAAGUCUUCAAAACCUAGCUUGAAUUUGAAACAACAGCACAUCUUAAUUUGGACACUAAAUUUUCAUCAAAAAUAUUUCAUUGAUUUAGAUUUCAUAAAUUUACAGUUGAAAAAGUAGAUGUACAUAUCCAAAUUGUCCCAAACAUGCUUAAAAUUUUUCCAGUAUGUAUGUUGUUUUAAAAUAUUUAUAUUUUUGUUGUUGUUGUUGUUGUUUUUUAAGAUGGAUUUUUGCUCUUGUCACCCAGGCUGGAGUGCAACGGCGCGAUCUUGGCUCACUGCAACCUCCACCUCCCAGGUUCAGGCGAUUCCCCUACCUCAGCCUCCCGAGUAGCUGGGAUUACAGGUGCGCGCCACCACGCCCGGCUGAUUUUUGUAUUUUUAGUAGAGAUGGGGUUUCACCAUGUUGGUCAGGCUGGUCUCGAACUCCUGACCACAGGUGAUCCACCUGCCUUGGCCUCCCAAAGUGCUGGGAUUACAGGUGUGAGCCACUGUGCCCGGCUGGGAGCAAGACUGGAGCAAGACUCCAUCUCAAAAAAAAAAUAAAAUAAAUAAGUGAAUUAAUUAAUUAAAGGCCAGGCAUGGUGGUUCACACUUGUCAACAUUUUGGGAGGCUGAGGUGGGAGGAUUGCUUGAGUCCAGGAGUUCCAGACCAGCCAGGGCAACAUAGUGAGACCCUGUCUGUAUUACAAUAAUAAAAUCAAAUAAAGUUUUUAAUUUUUUUUUUGAGACAGAGUCUCACUCUGUCACUCAGGUCAGAGUGCAGUGGCACUAUCUUGGCUCACUGCAACCUCCACCUCACUGAUUCAAGUGAUUCUCAUGCCUCAGUCUCCCCAGGUAGCUGGAAUUCCAGGCAAGCGCCACCAUGCCUAGCUACUUUUUGUACUUUUAGUAGAGACCAGGUUUCGCCAUGUUGGCCAGGCUGGUCUUGAACUCCUGACCUCAACUGAUCCACCCACCUUGGCCUCCCAAAGUGCUGGAUUACAGGUGUGAGCCACCAUGCCCGGCCAAAAUAACAUUUUUAAAAACUAAAUUAAAUUUAUAUAACACUGACCGGGCAUCAUGGCUCAUGCCUGCAAUCCCAGCACUUUGGGAGGCUGAGGUGGGUGGAUCACCUGAGGUCGGGAGUUUGAGACCAGCCUCACCAACAUGGAGAAACCGUGUCUCUACUAAAAAUACAAAAUUAUCUGGGCGUGGUGGCGCAUGCCUGUAAUACCAGCUACUCGGGAGGCUGAGGCAGGAGAAUCACUUGAACCCGGGAGGCAGAGGUUGUGGUGAGCCAAGAUUGCACCAUUGCACUCCAGCCUGGGCAACAAGAGCAAAACUCCAUCUCAAAAAAAAAAAAAAAAAUUUGGUUCCUCAGUCACACUCCAAGGCUCAAUAUAGCAUACAGGCUGGGGGUUACCCUAUUGGACAGAACAUCUUUAAACCUCCCAGGCCUAGUACCCUUGCCUUCCCCUAGACUAUUACAAGAGGGAAAUUGAGUCAGCUGAUAGUGGUCCCCCCAACACAGACACAGUCUAUCUGAGAGAACGCCAAAUGACCUUGCUUUCCUCCUACCCCCAGCAAACAGCAUUCACCAAAUAGUAGGCAGCUUCCUAGGGAUCUCUCUCCAUUCUCCAUUCCCUUCCUGCUCCAGAGAGGACCCUGAAGAACCCAGCCUAUCCCAUGCACCUGUUCUUUCUGCUGCAGCUCCUGCUGCUGCUGGGCCAUCAGCCAUCUCCUUCGGUCCAAAGCCAUCUGCCGGCGCCGGGCCUCCCAGUGGUAGGCACUACCCAUGAUAGUGGGAUGGUAUGAGGCCCCAGGUGGGGGUGGGGACAGGCAGAGCCCACUGCUCCCACCACCUCUGUCUCUUCCCACUCAGACCCCUCUGCCUAUAACUGGAACCACCUCACAAUGUGGUUACUGCCAGGGCAACUGGGCAGGCCCCGCCUGCUUUGUUGAGAGAGGGAGGCAUUUUUCCCAAGGCUCCCAGGGAACAUCUGCAAAGUACCUUUCUCUCCUGGGUCCUGAUCAGAUAGAAGACCUUCCCACCUUAGCUUUGAGUCUCAAUGGGCCCCAUGGACAAUUCAGCAGUAAAGUCUUUUCUCUCUGGCUUCUUUCCCCCAUUCUUCCUCAGAGGGUUCCAGCAUCAUCAUCUGACCCUUCCUCUGCUCAUCUCUCCCCACUUAGGUCUCCGGAAUUACCUUUUUCUCCUUAAUCUCUCCUCUCUCCAUCUCCCCCAUAAAUGUCUGUGCUGAGUCAGAAUGAAAGAAAAUACAAAAUCCUACUAAGCCUCACUGAGGUCUGAGCCCCCAGAACGCAAAGGGGCUUCUUAGAAAACACCCUAGCUCUGGAGAUUUCUAAUUCUGGACUCAAGCCUAGCGUCUACCUCUUAAUUUUAUUUUCAUUUUAUUUUUUAUUUUUUGAGAUGGAGUUUCACUCUUGUUGCCCAGGCUGGAGUGCAAUGGCGCAAUCUCGGCUCACUGCAACCUCCGCCUCCCAGGUUCAAGAGAUUCUCCUACCUCAGCCUCCCAAGUAGCUAGGAUUACAGGCAUGCACCACCAUGCCCGGAUAAUUUUUGUAUUUUUAGUAGAGACAGGGUUUCUCCACGUUGGUCAGGCUGAUCUCAAACUCCAGACCUCAGGUGAUCCGCCCGCCUCAGCCUCCCAAAGUGCUGGGAUUACAGGUGUGAGCCACCACGCCCAGCCUGGGACUGUGCAUUUAAGAUCACCCCAAGUGGCUGGGCACAGUGGCCUCUGCCUCCUGGGUUCAAGCAAACAAAAAGAAAGAGCCUAGGCAACCUAGUGAAACCCUGUUCGGGCUGCGGCCUAUCUGUACCCCAGCUAUUCCAGAGGCUGAGGCAGGAGGGUGGAUGGAUGCUGGGAGGUGGAUGCUGCAGUGAGCAGUGAUUGCACCACUGCACUCCAGCCUGGGUGACAGAGCCAGACCCCGUCCCAAAUAAAUAAAAAUAAAGGAACCAGUUUGUAGAAAGCAGGAGAGGGUCCCAUUGAACUUCAAGCCUUCAAGCUACAGCUGUGGCUGGACAGGUUGGACCAGCAGGCUGGAGCAGUCGCCAUCUUGGCAGGGAUCAUUGACCCUGAUCUAUCAUCGGGAGGAAGAAGAGCUGAUCUUAUGCAGGGAGGGCAGGUGGACUAUGUGUGGACUCUGGUGAUCUGUUUGGGUGCCAGGUGUUACUCCCAGGGCCACCCAUAACUGUGAAUGUGCAGGAACCCUGACUUAGGUUCCUGGGGAAUGAGAGUUUGGUUCCCGGUACCCAGGGAAACCACCAGCAUCGGCAGAGGUGAUAGCUGGGGAGGAGCGGGGAUUUGGACGAGAGACACAGGAUGAGUACCGGGGGCAGCCCUGUGAUCAACAACUGCUGCAAGAGGGGCCGUUUGUUCGACUCACUAGUCUUCUGUGGCUCUAUGCGGUACUAAAGAGCAGAAGACAGAAGAUACAAAAACCACAAAAAUUAGCCGGGCGUGGUGCUGCGCGUCAAUAAUCCCAGCUACUCGGGAGGCUGAGAUGGGAGAAUCGCUUGAAUCCGGGAGGUGGAAGUUUCAGCGAGCUGAGAUCACGCCAUUGCAGUCCAACCUGAGCGUCCGAGCGAGACUAUCUCAGAAAGUAAAGACAGAAUUAAAGUGCCCAGCGCAGUGGCUCACGCCUGUAAUCCCAGCGCUUUGGGAGGCCGAGGCGGGCAGAUCACCUGAAGUCAGGAGUUCGAGACCAGCCUGGCCAACUUGGCGAGACCUCCUUAAAAAUACAAAAAUUAGCUGGGCGUGGUGGCAAACACCUGUAAUCCCAGCUACCCAAGGAGGCUGAGGCAGGAGAAUCACUGGAACCCGGGAGGCAGAGGCUGCAGUGAGCCGAGAUCGCGCCACUGCACUCCAGCCUGGGUGACAGAGCAAGACUUUGUCUCUGAAAAAAAAAAAAAAAAAAAAGCAUGGGCGCGGUGGCUCAUGCCUGUAAUCCCAGCACUUUGGGAGGCUGAGGCGGGCAGAUCAUGAGGUCAGGAGAUCGAGACCAUCCUGGCUAACACGGUGAAUCCCCGUCUCUACUAAAAGUACAAAAAAAUUAGCCAGACGUAGUGGCAGGUGCCUGUCGUCCCCGCUACUUGGGAGGCUGAGGCAGAAGAAUGGCGCGAACCCAGGAGGUGGAGCUUGCAGUGAGCCGAGAUGCGCCACUGCACUCCAGCCUCAGCGACAGAGUGAGACUCCGUCUCAAAAAAAAAAAAAAAAAAGCUUGGGCCAGUGGCUCACACCUGUAAUCCCAGCACUUUGGGAGGCGGCAGGCAGGCGGAUCACCAGAGGCUGGGAGUUGGAGACCAGCCUGACCAACAUGGAGAAACCCCAAUCUGUACUAAAAAGCCUCUGAGGAAGAGUGGGGGAAAGAUGCCACAGAGAAAAGACUUUACUGCUGAAUUGUCCAUGGGGCCCACUGAGACUCAAAGCUAAGGUGGGAAGGUCUUCUAUCUGAUCAGGACCCAGGAGAGAAAGAUACUUUGCAGAUGUUUCCUGGGAGCCUUGGGAAAAAUGCCUCCCUCCCUCAACAAAGCAGGCGGGGCCUGCCCAGUUGCCCUGGCAGUAACCACAUUGUGAGGUGGUUCCAGUUAUAGGCAGAGGGGUCUGAGUGGGAAGAGACAGAGGUGGUGGGAGCAGUGGGCUCAGCCUUUACUUCGCCGCCCGAGGGCGGGGAGACCGGCCCCGUACCCGAGGGGACGAGGGGCCCAUGCCCAGUCAGGGAAGCCGAAGGCCUGGAGGGGCUUCCGGGAGCAGGGGCUGGAGUUCCUCUGCCAGGCAGGAGGCUGGCACCAGACACCCGGCAGAGGGAGGCGGCGAGGGCCCAGCAAGGAUUCUCCCCAGCCCCUGUGCCUGCGUCUCCUGCGGCUUCUGUGCGCGGACCGUGUCCUGUGCUGUGUAGGGAAUGCUGCCUCUCUGCUCGGGACGUGGAUUCCUUUCCCCUCCUCCUCGCCUGGCUACUUCUGACGCAGGUCGUCAGGACUCCGCUUGGGUGUCACCCGUGCAGGAAGCCUCCCUUAGUCAAGGGCCCUCGGCACCCGCCCCAUAUGUGACUAGCAGCCCUCCUGUGUAUUUCAUCGCGUCCCCGUUGUUUAUAUCAGCUAUUCCACUCACCACCCUUCUGGGCAACCCUUUAUCUCCCGCUCUGAAAUCCCAUCGCUGAGGGCUGGGACCCCUCCUCAGUGCUUAUCCCUGUUUCCCCGCGCGAGUCUGGCGCCUGGCGUGUGGAAGGCGCUCAGUAAACGUUUGUGGAGCGAAGAAACGACGCAAAGGUGAUGAGCACGACGCAGUUAGGAGGCUAUUGGCCCGGCGCGGGGGAAAAGGGGGAAGGUCGGGCUCGGGGUGGCAGGACCCCAGAGGGCAGGGGUGACUGCCGGGGUGCUCUUGGGGCAAGGUGGGCGUCAAGGCCCCCAGCAAGGUUGGGAUAAAGUUUCUCUCCGAGGCACAGACUGCCGCCUGCGGGCUCAGCAUUUACCUCUCCCUUCCUCCUUCCUAACGCAACUUCAGCGGAGGGCUGAGGGCUCUACUGCGCAUUACCUGGAAAACUUAUUUCACUCCACGGCCCUAAGAGGUGGGCCUUAUUAUUAGCCACGGCCAGGGUUAGGGUGAGGCCACUCCUCCAGGGCAGAAUUUCAGGGGGUGCCCACCCCCCCGCCCUAAAUCAUUCAGCAAUCAACAUAAAUUAUAGUUCAACGCAAUAUAUCUUAUCUUGUGGGCCGCAAGCCACCCAGGUGCCCAGGCAAGAGCCUGAAGGCACAAGCUGUUCCAGUACAGCAAAGAAAAUAAUUAGAAUAAGAAAAGUUUUACUAGAGAUAGGAAACGGAUAGGAUUAUAUCUGACUAUUAUUAAUCAUUAGUUUGUAGCAUCACUCUUUGUUCUAUUACCAUAAUGAUCUCUGUUCUAUUAUGAUUACCUUGGGGGAAACCAGGCCACACAGAGUUAGGAGCUGAAGGGCCACAGUGAGAGGUGACCAGAAGACAAGAGUGUGAGCCCUCAUUCACGCCCAGAGAAGGGCCGCUGGAGGGCUCCUUGGCCUAGCGGUAAUGCCAGUGCCUGGGAAGGCCCUGGUUACUUAGCAGGCCUUGGUCUAGCGGUGGCCCCAGUGCCUGGGAAGGCACCCGUUACUUAGCAGAAUUACUACGCAGCCAUAAAAAAGGAUGAGUUCAUGACCUCUGCGGGAACGUGGAGGGAGGAAAAGGCCUCAUUCUCAGCAAACUGACACAGGAAGCGAAAACAAACACCGCAUGUUCUCGCUCCUAAGUGGGAGUUGAACAGCGAGAACACAUGGGACACAGGGAGGGGAACAUCACACGCCGGGCCCUGACGGGGCGUGGGGGGCAAGGGGAGAGAGAGCAUUAGGACAAAUAGCCAACGCAUGCGGGGCUUCAAACCUAGACGACUGGUGGAUAGGUGCAGCAAAGCACCGUGGCACACGUGUACCUAUGUUCCAAACCUGCACGUCCUGCACAUGUACCCCAGAACUUGGGAGGGGGUGGGGGAAACCAAAAGAGCGAGGGAGAGGCGGGGGGGGGGAAGAGAGAGAGAGAGGGAAAGAGAGAGAGAGACAGAGAGAGGAGAGAGAGAGAGAGAGAGAGACAGAGAGAGAGAGAGAGAGACAGAGAGAGAGACAGAGAGACGGAGAGACAGAGAGAGAGAGAGAGAAAGAGAGAGAGAGAGAGAGAGAGAGAGAGAGAGAGACAGGAGAAAGAAGAACUCCGGGUGGGUCCCAUUCCUUUAAAAGGUCGCCACCCACUCGACUGCCAAGCUGAGAUCCUAAGGACCUCCCCAAAGGAGGAGGUCGUGGCCUUCCCAAAGCGCAGUAGCCACGGUGGAAACGACAGCGUGCCGCAUAAGCCUACCGUCUACCGCCCGCACAUCAGGAACCUCAAGGUACUUCAGGGAAGCAGUUAAGUUAAGCCGGCGCGUCACAGGCACUCGGCGUGCAAGCCGCCCCGCAGGUGCUACCGUCUCUUACCUCCCUCUACUUUUAGGAAACACGUUGUAUCCCCGGAGGGGGUGCACCGUUCCUGGAGGUACUGCAAUACCAGGUCGAUGCGUGGAGUGGACGGAGCAAGCUCCUAUUCCAUCUCCCUGCUCCAAAAAUCCAUUUAAUAUAUUGUCCUCGGAUAGAGGACGUAUCAGAUAUUAAACUGAUAAGAACAGAUACUACACUUGAUCUUAGCCAAAAGGCCGAGAAGCGAUGCGCUCGCCUUCGCGCCCGCCGUCACCGUCCCACUCUCAUCCACAUUCAAGUCGCGGUGAGAGCCCCAGCCUCGCUCCUUGCCCCAUUCCCUCUGUCUCGUCCACAGCGCUAUUGACGCCCUUACACUCUCGGGCUGAUUUCUUAUUCUCUGCCUUUGAAAAGGGAAAUCUUACACCCGUGCUUCUUCCGGCGUUCCCGGGCUUUCAUUUCGAAUUUGCAUGCCCCGCCCUUUCACAGAGGGCGUGGCCUCCGCCGUUGACUCCGCCCCCGGGGCCGCCUCUGCCUGGGGGAGCCGGGGCUCCGCUGGGGGCGACUUCCUUGUUCGUAUCGAGCCAGCGAAAAGACAGAACCGGAAGAGACCGGGGGCGAAGGCGACAGGGGUCUGUGGAAGAGACCUGUCGGCGGAGAGCGGUCCACGUUUUCCUGGAGAAAGACGAGGCUCCAGGGCAGGAGCGCGGGCUGCGCUGGGCCUUUACUUCGCCGCCCGCGGGCGGGGAGACCGGCCCCGUACCCGAGGGGACGAGGGGACGAGGGGCCCAUGCCCAGUCAGGGAAGCCGAAGGCCUGGAGGGGCUUCCGGGAGCAGGGGCUGGAGUUCCUCUGCCAGGCAGGAGGCUGGCACCAGACACCCGGCAGAGGGAGGCGGCGAGGGCCCAGCAAGGAUUCUCCCCAGCCCCUGUGCCUGCGUCUCCUGCGGCUUCUGUGCGCGGACCGUGUCCUGUGCUGUGUAGGGAACGCUGCCUCUCUGCUCGGGACGUGGAUUCCUUUCCCCUCCUCCUCGCCCGGCUACUUCUGACGCAGGUCGUCAGGACUCCGCUUGGGUGUCACCCGUGCAGGAAGCCUCCCUUAGUCAAGGGCCCUCGGCACCCGCCCCAUAUGUGACUAGCAGCCCUCCUGUGUAUUUCAUCGCGCCCCCGUUGUUUAUAUCAGCCAUUCCACUCACCACCCUUCUGGGCAACCCUUUAUCUCCCGCUCUGAAAUCCCAUCGCUGAGGGCUGGGACCCCUCCUCAGUGCUUAUCCCUGUUUCCCCGCGCGAGUCUGGCGCCUGGCGUGUGGAAGGCGCUCAGUAAACGUUUGUGGAGCGAAGAAACGACGCAAAGGUGAUGAGCACGACGCAGUUAGGAGGCUAUUGGCCCGGCGCGGGGGAAAAGGGGGAAGGUCGGGCUCGGGGUGGCAGGACCCCAGAGGGCAGGGGUGGCUGCCGGGGUGCUCUUGGGGCAAGGUGGGCGUCAAGGCCCCCAGCAAGGUUGGGAUAAAGUUUCUCUCCGAGGCACAGACUGCCGCCUGCGGGCUCAGCAUUUACCUCUCCCUUCCUCCUUCCUAACGCAACUUCAGCGGAGGGCUGAGGGCUCUACUGCGCAUUACCUGGAAAACUUAUUUCACUCCACGGCCCUAAGAGGUGGGCCUUAUUAUUAGCCACGGCCAGGGUUAGGGUGAGGCCACUCCUCCAGGGCAGAAUUUCAGGGGGUGCCACCCCCCCGCCCUAAAUCAUUCAGCAAUCAACAUAAAUUAUAGUUCAACGCAAUGUAUCUUAUCUUGUGGGCCGCAAGCCACCCAGGUGCCCAGGCAAGAGCCUGAAGGCACAAGCUGUUCCAGUACAGCGAAGAAAAUAAUUAGAAUAAGAAAAGUUUUACUAGAGAUAGGAAACGGAUAGGAUUAUAUCUGACUAUUAUUAAUCAUUAGUUUGUAGCAUCACUCUUUGUUCUAUUACCAUAAUGAUCUCUGUUCUAUUAUGAUUACCUUGGGGGAAACCAGGCCACACAGAGUUAGGAGCUGAAGGGCCACAGUGAGAGGUGACCAGAAGACGAGAGUGUGAGCCCUCAUUCACGCCCAGAGAAGGGCCGCUGGAGGGCUCCUUGGCCUAGCGGUAAUGCCAGUGCCUGGGAAGGCCCUGGUUACUUAGCAGGCCUUGGUCUAGCGGUGGCCCCAGUGCCUGGGAAGGCACCCGUUACUUAGCAGACCCGGAAAGGGAAUCUCCCUCUCUCCAGGGGAGACAGAGAACGCUCCGCUCCACCACCUCUUGUGGGAGGUCUGACAUUAGCCAGGCCGGCCCGCAGUCAUCCGGAGGCUCCAACGUCUGUCUCCCUGUGAUGCUGUGCUUCAGUGGUCACGCUCCUUGUUCACUUUCAUGUUCAGCCUGUACACCUGGCUCCUCCUUUUAAGUUCUUAGAAGACAGCAGUAGCAGAACUAGUAGGAGUACCACAGUCUUCGAUCUUUCUGAUAAGUGCAUAGAAGAAACGCUGACGUUUGCUGUCCUCCCUCUCCACCUCGGCUACCACAAAGGGAAAGGCCCCCUGUCCAGUGGACACGUGACUCGCGUGACCUAUCGAUCAUUGGAGAUGACUGGCACUCCUUACCCUGCCCCCUUGCCUUGACUACAAUAAAUAGCAGCGCCUCCAGGCACUCGGGGCCACUACCUGUCUGUCUCCGCGCUUUGGUGGCAGUGGUCCCCCGGGCCCAGCUGUCUUUCUUCCUAUCUCUUUGUCUUCUGUCUUUAUCUCUUCGAUCUCUCGUCUCCGCACACACGCGAAGAGAAAACCCACAGACCCGGUAGGGGUGGACCCUACAUUAUCUCAGCUACAACAUAAUCAGGAUAUUCACGUGGACUACUGAGUCUUUCGGUGCCCCCUUGCUGUUUUAGUUUUGUCCUGCGGCCGAGUGUUUCCCUCGCUUCACGCCAACACAAUCUCCGCCGCCCUGUCUUGUCAUCCCCAUUCUACAGCCCAGCACGGUGUAGUAUGGCAGCCGCUAGCCACAGGUAUCUAGGGAGCCCUGGAAAUGUGGUCAGUUCUAAUGGAGCUGUGCUGUAAGUGUGAAAUACACGUGGGAUUUUGACGGCAGUGGGAGCAAAAUUCUCCCAAUUUUUUUUUUUUUUUUUUUUUUUUCAGACGGAGGUUCCGCUCUUGUUACCCAGCCUGGAGUCCAAUGGCGCGAUCUAGGCUCUCUGCAACCUCCGCCCCCCGGGUUCAAGCAAUUCCCCUGCCUCAUCCUCCCAAGCAUUGGGACUACAGGUAUGUGCCACCACGCUCGGCUAAGUUUGUAUUUUUAAAAGUAUGGGGGGGGGCCACGUUGGCUUGCUGUUCUCCAACUCCCGACCUCCGGUGAUCUGCCCAGCUGCCGCCUCCCCAAAGUGUUGCUUGCGAUUACAGGCUUGAGCCACCGCUCACCCUGGCUUUUUUUUUUUUUUUUUCCAGACAAACUCUCGCUCUGUCGCCCAGGCUGGAGUGCAGUGGCGCGAUCUCGGCUCACUGCAGCCUCUACCUCCCGGGUUCCAGCGAUUCUCCUGCCUCAGCCUCCUGGGUAGCUGGGAUUACAGGCGCAGGCCACCACGCCCGGCUAAUUUUUGUAUUUUUAGGGGGUUUCGCCAUGUCGGCCAGGCUGGUCUCGAGCUCCUGACCUCAGGCGAUCCGCCCGCCUCGGCCUCCCAAAGCGCUGGGAUUACAGGCGUAAGCCACCGCGCCGGGCUCUUUCAUUCUGUCUUUAUUUUCUGAGAUAGAGUCUCGCUCGGACGCUCAGGUUGGACUGCAACGGCGUGAUCUCGGCUCGCUGAAACUUCCGCCUCCCGGGUUCAAGCGAUUCUCCUGUCUCAGCCUCCCGAGUAGCUGGGAUUAUUGACGGGCAGCACCACGCCCGGCUACUUUUUGUGGUUUUUGUAUCUUCUGUCUUCUGCUCUUUAGUACCGCAUAGAGCCGCAGAAGACUAGCGAGUCGAACAAACGGCCCCUCUUGCAGCAGUUGUUGAUCACGGGGCUGCCCCCCGGGUACUCAUCCUGUGUCUCUCGUCCAAAUCCCCGCUCCUCCUCAGCUAUCACCUCUGCCGAUGCUGGUGGUUUCCUGGGUACGGGAACAAACUCUCAUUCCCCAGGGGCCUAAGCCUCGUGGCCAGGCCUUCUCAAGUCAGGGUUCUGCACAUUCACAGUUACGGGUGGCCUGGGAGUAACACCUGGCACCAAACAGGUCACCAGAGUCACACAUAGUCACCUGCCCUCCUGCGUAAGAUCAGCUCUUCCUCCUCCCGACGAUAGAUCAGGGUCAAUGAUCCCUGCCAAGAUGGCGACUGCUCCAGCCUGCUGUCCAACCUGUCCAGCCACAGCUGUUGCUCGAAGGCUUGAAGUUCAAUGGGACCCUCUCCCGCUUUCUACAAACUGGUUCCUUUAUUUUUAUGUUUAUUUAUUUGGGACGGGGUCUGGCUCUGUCACCCAGGCUGGAGUGCAGUGGUGCAAUCACUGCUCACUGCAGCAUCCACCUCCCAGCGUCCACCCAUCCUCCUGGCCUCAGCCUCCGGAACAGCUGGGGUACAGGUACGCCCCAGCCCGAACAGGUUUUCACUAGGUUGCCUGGGCUCUUUCUUUCUUUGUCUGUGUUUGUUUGUUGGUUGGUUGGUUGGUUGGUUGGUUUUUGUUUGUUUGUUUCGAGACGGGGCUCCGGCUCUGCCGCCGGGGGCUGCAGUGCAAUGGCGCGAUCUCACCUCACUGCGGCCUUCUGGGCUCAAGCGAUCCUCCCACUGUGCCCGGCCUGAAGACAGCCUUUAGAGAAAGAAGCAGGGGGAGUUCUUCCGAGGACAGACAAGAUUUCUGGAGUUUGGAAAGGGUGAGAGACUGGGUCAGCGAAAGGAACAUUCCGGUCUUUAUGUUGGGAUGCAACGUAUAGAUACAGGGAUGAGACCCAAAAGAGCCGGCAGAGGUUUGUCAUCGUGCUCGCAAGGCAACUGCGUAUGGCUGAUCCCGUAAAGGAUACACAUACCUAGAGCGGCACGUAAAGAUGCAUCCAGCAUGACGGGUGGAGCACGAUGCUUGGACUCGAGCUCUGCUCCUGUGCGUUCCGUGAUCAAUGGCUUAUACUACCUGCACCUCAGUUUUUCCCGGGCAAAAAAGGAAGCUUGCUGCCGGUGCGUUGGCACCUGCCUUAAAGUGCCAGCUACUCAGCGGGCUGAAGAGGAAGAAGUUCCUACUAGGAAGACACGUGGACACGUAUGUUUACUGCAGCACUAUUUACAAUAGCAAAGACUUGGAACCAACUCGAAUGCCCAUGAAUGAUAGGCUGGAUAAAGAAAGUGUGGCACGUAUACAGCAUGGAAUUACUACGCAGCCAUAAAAAAGGAUGAGUUCAUGACCUCUGCGGGAACGUGGAUGAAGCUGGAAGGCCUCAUUCUCAGCAAACUGACACAGGAAGCGAAAACCAAACACCGCAUGUUCUCGCUCCUAAGUGGGAGUUGAACAGCGAGAACACAUGGGACACAGGGAGGGGAACAUCACACGCCGGGCCCUGACGGGGCGUGGGGGGCAAGGGGAGAGAGAGCAUUAGGACAAAUAGCCAACGCAUGCGGGGCUUCAAACCUAGACGACUGGUGGAUAGGUGCAGCAAAGCACCGUGGCACACGUGUACCUAUGUUCCAAACCUGCACGUCCUGCACAUGUACCCCAGAACUUGGGAGGGGGUGGGGGAAACCAAAAGAGCGAGGGAGAGGCGGGGGGGGGGAAAGAGAGGGAGAGAGGGAAAGAGAGAGAGAGACAGGAGAGAGGAGAGAGAGAGAGAGAGAGAGAGAGAGAGACAGAGAGAGAGACAGAGAGACAGAGACAGACACAGAGAGACGGAGAGACAGAGAGAGAGAGAGAGAGAGAGAGAGAGACAGGAGAAAGAAGAACUCCGGGUGGGUCCCAUUCCUUUAAAAGGUCGCCACCCACUCGACUGCCAAGCUGAGAUCCUAAGGACCUCCCCAAAGGAGGAGGUCGUGGCCUUCCCAAAGCGCAGUAGCCACGGUGGAAACGAAAGCGUGCCGCAUAAGCCUACCGUCUACCGCCCGCACAUCAGGAACCUCAAGGUACUUCAGGGAAGCAGUUAAGUCAAGCCGGCGCGUCACAGGCACUCGGCGUGCAAGCCGCCCCGCAGGUGCUACCGUCUCUUACCUCCCUCUACUUUUAGGAAACACGUUGUAUCCCCGGAGGGGGUGCACCGUUCCUGGAGGUACUGCAAUACCAGGUCGAUGCGUGGAGUGGACGGAGCAAGCUCCUAUUCCAUCUCCCUGCUCCAAAAAUCCAUUUAAUAUAUUGUCCUCGGAUAGAGGACGUAUCAGAUAUUAAACUGAUAAGAACAGAUACUACACUUGAUCUUAGCCAAAAGGCCGAGAAGCGAUGCGCUCGCCUUCGCGCCCGCCGUCACCGUCCCACUCUCAUCCACAUUCAAGUCGCGGUGAGAGCCCCAGCCUCGCUCCUUUGCCCCAUUCCCUCUGUCUCGUCCACAGCGCUAUUGACGCCCUUACACUCUCGGGCUGAUUUCCUUAUUCUUCCGCCUUUUGAAAAGGGAAAUCUUACACCCGCGCUUCUUCCGGCGUUCCCGGGCUUUCAUUUCCAAUUUGCAUGCCCCGCCCUUUCACAGAGGGCGCUCUGCGGGACGUGGAUGAUGCUGGAAGGCCUCAUUCUCAGCAAACUGAAAGGAAGCGAAAACCAAACACCGCAUGUUCUCGCUCCUAAGUGGGAGUUGAACAGCGAGAACACAUGGGACACAGGGAGGGGAACAUCACACGCCGGGCCCUGACGGGGCGUGGGGGGCAAGGGGAGAGAGAGCAUUAGGACAAAUAGCCAACGCAUGCGGGGCUUCAAACCUAGACGACUGGUGGAUAGGUGCAGCAAAGCACCGUGGCACACGUGUACCUAUGUUCCAAACCUGCACGUCCUGCACAUGUACCCCAGAACUUGGGAGGGGGUGGGGGAAACCAAAAGAGCGAGGGAGAGGCGGGGGGGGGGAAGAGAGAGAGAGAGGGAAAGAGAGAGAGAGACAGAGAGAGGAGAGAGAGAGAGAGAGACAGAGAGAGAGACAGAGAGACAGAGACAGACACAGAGAGACGGAGAGACAGAGAGAGAGAGAGAGAGAAAGAGAGAGAGAGAGAGACAGGAGAAAGAAGAACUCCGGGUGGGUCCCAUUCCUUUAAAAGGUCGCCACCCACUCGACUGCCAAGCUGAGAUCCUAAGGACCUCCCCAAAGGAGGAGGUCGUGGCCUUCCCAAAGCGCAGUAGCCACGGUGGAAACGAAAGCGUGCCGCAUAAGCCUACCGUCUACCGCCCGCACAUCAGGAACCUCAAGGUACUUCAGGGAAGCAGUUAAGUCAAGCCGGCGCGUCACAGGCACUCGGCGUGCAAGCCGCCCCGCAGGUGCUACCGUCUCUUACCUCCCUCUACUUUUAGGAAACACGUUGUAUCCCCGGAGGGGGUGCACCGUUCCUGGAGGUACUGCAAUACCAGGUCGAUGCGUGGAGUGGACGGAGCAAGCUCCUAUUCCAUCUCCCUGCUCCAAAAAUCCAUUUAAUAUAUUGUCCUCGGAUAGAGGACGUAUCAGAUAUUAAACUGAUAAGAACAGAUACUACACUUGAUCUUAGCCAAAAGGCCGAGAAGCGAUGCGCUCGCCUUCGCGCCCGCCGUCACCGUCCCACUCUCAUCCACAUUCAAGUCGCGGUGAGAGCCCCAGCCUCGCUCCUUGCCCCAUUCCCUCUGUCUCGUCCACAGCGCUAUUGACGCCCUUACACUCUCGGGCUGAUUUCUUAUUCUCCGCCUUUGAAAAGGGAAAUCUUACACCCGUGCUUCUUCCGGCGUUCCCGGGCUUUCAUUUCCAAUUUGCAUGCCCCCGCCCCUUUCACAGAGGGCGUGGCCUCCGCCGUUGACUCCGCCCCCCGGGGCCGCCUUCUGCCUGGGGGAGCCGGGGCUCCGCUGGGGGCGACUUCCUUGUUCGUAUCGAGCCCAGCGAAAAGACAGAACCGGAAGAGACCGGGGGCGAAGGCGACAGGGGUCUGUGGAAGAGACCUGUCGGCGGAGAGCGGUCCACGUUUUCCUGGAGAAAGACGAGGCCCCAGGGCAGGAGCGCGGGCUGCGCUGGGCCUUUACUUCGCCGCCCGCGGGCGGGGAGACCGGCCCCGUACCCGAGGGGACGAGGGGACGAGGGGCCCAUGCCCAGUCAGGGAAGCCGAAGGCCUGGAGGGGCUUCCGGGAGCAGGGGCUGGAGUUCCUCUGCCAGGCAGGAGGCUGGCACCAGACACCCGGCAGAGGGAGGCGGCGAGGGCCCAGCAAGGAUUCUCCCCAGCCCCUGUGCCUGCGUCUCCUGCGGCUUCUGUGCGCGGACCGUGUCCUGUGCUGUGUAGGGAACGCUGCCUCUCUGCUCGGGACGUGGAUUCCUUUCCCCUCCUCCUCGCCCGGCUACUUCUGACGCAGGUCGUCAGGACUCCGCUUGGGUGUCACCCGUGCAGGAAGCCUCCCUUAGUCAAGGGCCCUCGGCACCCGCCCCAUAUGUGACUAGCAGCCCUCCUGUGUAUUUCAUCGCGCCCCCGUUGUUUAUAUCAGCCAUUCCACUCACCACCCUUCUGGGCAACCCUUUAUCUCCCGCUCUGAAAUCCCAUCGCUGAGGGCUGGGACCCCUCCUCAGUGCUUAUCCCUGUUUCCCCGCGCGAGUCUGGCGCCUGGCGUGUGGAAGGCGCUCAGUAAACGUUUGUGGAGCGAAGAAACGACGCAAAGGUGAUGAGCACGACGCAGUUAGGAGGCUAUUGGCCCGGCGCGGGGGAAAAGGGGGAAGGUCGGGCUCGGGGUGGCAGGACCCCAGAGGGCAGGGGUGGCUGCCGGGGUGCUCUUGGGGCAAGGUGGGCGUCAAGGCCCCCAGCAAGGUUGGGAUAAAGUUCCUCUCCGAGGCACAGACUGCCGCCUGCGGGCUCAGCAUUUACCUCUCCCUUCCUCCUUCCUAACGCAACUUCAGCGGAGGGCUGAGGGCUCUACUGCGCAUUACCUGGAAAACUUAUUUCACUCCACGGCCCUAAGAGGUGGGCCUUAUUAUUAGCCACGGCCAGGGUUAGGGUGAGGCCACUCCUCCAGGGCAGAAUUUCAGGGGGUGCCCACCCCCCCGCCCUAAAUCAUUCAGCAAUCAACAUAAAUUAUAGUUCAACGCAAUGUAUCUUAUCUUGUGGGCCGCAAGCCACCCAGGUGCCCAGGCAAGAGCCUGAAGGCACAAGCUGUUCCAGUACAGCGAAGAAAAUAAUUAGAAUAAGAAAAGUUUUACUAGAGAUAGGAAACGGAUAGGAUUAUAUCUGACUAUUAUUAAUCAUUAGUUUGUAGCAUCACUCUUUGUUCUAUUACCAUAAUGAUCUCUGUUCUAUUAUGAUUACCUUGGGGGAAACCAGGCCACACAGAGUUAGGAGCUGAAGGGCCACAGUGAGAGGUGACCAGAAGACGAGAGUGUGAGCCCUCAUUCACGCCCAGAGAAGGGCCGCUGGAGGGCUCCUUGGCCUAGCGGUAAUGCCAGUGCCUGGGAAGGCCCUGGUUACUUAGCAGGCCUUGGUCUAGCGGUGGCCCCAGUGCCUGGGAAGGCACCCGUUACUUAGCAGACCCGGAAAGGGAAUCUCCCUCUCUCCAGGGGAGACAGAGAACGCUCCGCUCCACCACCUCUUGUGGGAGGUCUGACAUUAGCCAGGCCGGCCCGCAGUCAUCCGGAGGCUCCAACGUCUGUCUCCCUGUGAUGCUGUGCUUCAGUGGUCACGCUCCUUGUUCACUUUCAUGUUCAGCCUGUACACCUGGCUCCUCCUUUUAAGUUCUUAGAAGACAGCAGUAGCAGAACUAGUAGGAGUACCACAGUCUUCGAUCUUUCUGAUAAGUGCAUAGAAGAAACGCUGACGUUUGCUGUCCUCCCUCUCCACCUCGGCUACCACAAAGGGAAAGGCCCCCUGUCCAGUGCACACGUGACUCGCGUGACCUAUCGAUCAUUGGAGAUGACUGGCACUCCUUACCCUGCCCCCUUGCCUUGACUACAAUAAAUAGCAGCGCUCCAGGCACUCGGGGCACUACCUGUCUGUCUCCGCGCUUUGGUGGCAGUGGUCCCCCGGGCCCAGCUGUCUUUCUUCCUAUCUCUUUGUCUUCUGUCUUUAUCUCUUCGAUCUCUCGUCUCCGCACACACGCGAAGAGAAAACCCACAGACCCGGUAGGGGUGGACCCUACAUUAUCUCAGCUACAACAUAAUCAGGAUAUUCACGUGGACUACUGAGUCUUUCGGUGCCCCCUUGCUGUUUUAGUUUUGUCCUGCGGCCGAGUGUUUCCCUCGCUUCACGCCAACACAAUCUCCGCCGCCCUGUCUUGUCAUCCCCAUUCUACAGCCCAGCACGGUGUAGUAUGGCAGCCGCUAGCCACAGGUAUCUAGGGAGCCCUGGAAAUGUGGUCAGUUCUAAUGGAGCUGUGCUGUAAGUGUGAAAUACACGUGGGAUUUUGACGGCAGUGGGAGCAAAAUUCUCCCAAUUUUUUUUUUUUUUUUUUUUUUUCAGACGGAGGUUCCGCUCUUGUUACCCAGCCUGGAGUCCAGUGGCGCGAUCUAGGCUCUCUGCAACCUCCGCCUCCCGGGUUCAAGCGAUUCCCCUUAGAUACAGGGAUGAGACCCAAAAGAGCCGGCAGAGGUUUUUCAUCGUGCUCGCAAGGGCAACUGCCCGGUGGCUGAUCCCGUAAAGGAUACACAUACCUAGAGCGGAGCCUAAAGAUGCAUCCAGCAUGACGGGUGGAGCCACGAUGCUUGGACUCGAGCUCUGCUCCUGUGCGUUCCGUGAUCAAUGGCUUAUACUACCUGCACCUCAGUUUUUCCCGGGCAAAAAAGGAAGCUUGCUGCCGGUGCGUUGGCACCUGCCUUAAAGUGCCAGCUACUCAGCGGGCUGAAGAGGAAGAAGUUCCUACUAGGAAGACACGUGGACACGUAUGUUUACUGCAGCACUAUUUACAAUAGCAAAGACUUGGAACCAACUCGAAUGCCCAUGAAUGAUAGGCUGGAUAAAGAAAGUGUGGCACGUAUACAGCAUGGAAUUACUACGCAGCCAUAAAAAAGGAUGAGUUCAUGACCUCUGCGGGAACGUGGAUGAAGCUGGAAGGCCUCAUUCUCAGCAAACUGACACAGGAAGCGAAAACCAAACACCGCAUGUUCUCGCUCCUAAGUGGGAGUUGAACAGCGAGAACACAUGGGACACAGGGAGGGGAACAUCACACGCCGGGCCCUGACGGGGCGUGGGGGGCAAGGGGAGAGAGAGCAUUAGGACAAAUAGCCAACGCAUGCGGGGCUUCAAACCUAGACGACUGGUGGAUAGGUGCAGCAAAGCACCGUGGCACACGUGUACCUAUGUUCCAAACCUGCACGUCCUGCACAUGUACCCCAGAACUUGGGAGGGGGUGGGGGAAACCAAAAGAGCGAGGGAGAGGCGGGGGGGGGGGAAGAGAGAGAGAGAGGGAAAGAGAGAGAGAGACAGAGAGAGGAGAGAGAGAGAGAGAGAGAGAGAGAGACAGAGAGAGAGACAGAGAGACAGAGACAGACACAGAGAGACGGAGAGACAGAGAGAGAGAGAGAGAAAGAGAGAGAGAGAGAGAGAGAGAGAGAGAGAGACAGGAGAAAGAAGAACUCCGGGUGGGUCCCAUUCCUUUAAAAGGUCGCCACCCACUCGACUGCCAAGCUGAGAUCCUAAGGACCUCCCCAAAGGAGGAGGUCGUGGCCUUCCCAAAGCGCAGUAGCCACGGUGGAAACGACAGCGUGCCGCAUAAGCCUACCGUCUACCGCCCGCACAUCAGGAACCUCAAGGUACUUCAGGGAAGCAGUUAAGUCAAGCCGGCGCGUCACAGGCACUCGGCGUGCAAGCCGCCCCGCAGGUGCUACCGUCUCUUACCUCCCUCUACUUUUAGGAAACACGUUGUAUCCCCGGAGGGGGUGCACCGUUCCUGGAGGUACUGCAAUACCAGGUCGAUGCGUGGAGUGGACGGAGCAAGCUCCUAUUCCAUCUCCCUGCUCCAAAAAUCCAUUUAAUAUAUUGUCCUCGGAUAGAGGACGUAUCAGAUAUUAAACUGAUAAGAACAGAUACUACACUUGAUCUUAGCCAAAAGGCCGAGAAGCGAUGCGCUCGCCUUCGCGCCCGCCGUCACCGUCCCACUCUCAUCCACAUUCAAGUCGCGGUGAGAGCCCCAGCCUCGCUCCUUGCCCCAUUCCCUCUGUCUCGUCCACAGCGCUAUUGACGCCCUUACACUCUCGGGCUGAUUUCUUAUUCUCCGCCUUUGAAAAGGGAAAUCUUACACCCGUGCUUCUUCCGGCGUUCCCGGGCUUUCAUUUCGAAUUUGCAUGCCCCGCCCUUUCACAGAGGGCGUGGCCUCCGCCGUUGACUCCGCCCCCGGGGCCGCCUCUGCCUGGGGGAGCCGGGGCUCCGCUGGGGGCGACUUCCUUGUUCGUAUCGAGCCAGCGAAAAGACAGAACCGGAAGAGACCGGGGGCGAAGGCGACAGGGGUCUGUGGAAGAGACCUGUCGGCGGAGAGCGGUCCACGUUUUCCUGGAGAAAGACGAGGCCCCAGGGCAGGAGCGCGGGCUGCGCUGGGCCUUUACUUCGCCGCCCGCGGGCGGGGAGACCGGCCCCGUACCCGAGGGGACGAGGGGACGAGGGGCCCAUGCCCAGUCAGGGAAGCCGAAGGCCUGGAGGGGCUUCCGGGAGCAGGGGCUGGAGUUCCUCUGCCAGGCAGGAGGCUGGCACCAGACACCCGGCAGAGGGAGGCGGCGAGGGCCCAGCAAGGAUUCUCCCCAGCCCCUGUGCCUGCGUCUCCUGCGGCUUCUGUGCGCGGACCGUGUCCUGUGCUGUGUAGGGAACGCUGCCUCUCUGCUCGGGACGUGGAUUCCUUUCCCCUCCUCCUCGCCUGGCUACUUCUGACGCAGGUCGUCAGGACUCCGCUUGGGUGUCACCCGUGCAGGAAGCCUCCCUUAGUCAAGGGCCCUCGGCACCCGCCCCAUAUGUGACUAGCAGCCCUCCUGUGUAUUUCAUCGCGCCCCCGUUGUUUAUAUCAGCCAUUCCACUCACCACCCUUCUGGGCAACCCUUUAUCUCCCGCUCUGAAAUCCCAUCGCUGAGGGCUGGGACCCCUCCUCAGUGCUUAUCCCUGUUUCCCCGCGCGAGUCUGGCGCCUGGCGUGUGGAAGGCGCUCAGUAAACGUUUGUGGAGCGAAGAAACGACGCAAAGGUGAUGAGCACGACGCAGUUAGGAGGCUAUUGGCCCGGCGCGGGGGAAAAAGGGGAAGGUCGGGCUCGGGGUGGCAGGACCCCAGAGGGCAGGGGUGGCUGCCGGGGUGCUCUUGGGGCAAGGUGGGCGUCAAGGCCCCCAGCAAGGUUGGGAUAAAGUUUCUCUCCGAGGCACAGACUGCCGCCUGCGGGCUCAGCAUUUACCUCUCCCUUCCUCCUUCCUAACGCAACUUCAGCGGAGGGCUGAGGGCUCUACUGCGCAUUACCUGGAAAACUUAUUUCACUCCACGGCCCUAAGAGGUGGGCCUUAUUAUUAGCCACGGCCAGGGUUAGGGUGAGGCCACUCCUCCAGGGCAGAAUUUCAGGGGGUGCCCAACCCCCCGCCCUAAAUCAUUCAGCAAUCAACAUAAAUUAUAGUUCAACGCAAUGUAUCUUAUCUUGUGGGCCGCAAGCCACCCAGGUGCCCAGGCAAGAGCCUGAAGGCACAAGCUGUUCCAGUACAGCGAAGAAAAUAAUUAGAAUAAGAAAAGUUUUACUAGAGAUAGGAAACGGAUAGGAUUAUAUCUGACUAUUAUUAAUCAUUAGUUUGUAGCAUCACUCUUUGUUCUAUUACCAUAAUGAUCUCUGUUCUAUUAUGAUUACCUUGGGGAAACCAGGCCACACAGAGUUAGGAGCUGAAGGGCCACAGUGAGAGGUGACCAGAAGACGAGAGUGUGAGCCCUCAUUCACGCCCAGAGAAGGGCCGCUGGAGGCUCCUUGGCUAGCGGUAAUGCCAGUGCCUGGGAAGGCCCUGGUUACUUAGCAGGCCUUGGUCUAGCGGUGGCCCAGUGCCUGGGAAGGCACCCGUUACUUAGCAGACCCGGAAAGGGAAUCUCCCUCUCUCCAGGGGAGACAGAGUCAGACGCUCCACCACCUCUUGUGGGAGGUCUGACAUUAGCCAGGCCGGCCCGCAGUCAUCCGGAGGCUCCAACGUCUGUCUCCCUGUGAUGCUGUGCUUCAGUGGUCACGCUCCUUGUUCACUUUCAUGUUCAGCCUGUACACCUGGCUCCUCCUUUUAAGUUCUUAGAAGACAGCAGUAGCAGAACUAGUAGGAGUACCACAGUCUUCGAUCUUUCUGAUAAGUGCAUAGAAGAAACGCUGACGUUUGCUGUCCUCCCUCUCCACCUCGGCUACCACAAAGGGAAAGGCCCCCUGUCCAGUGCACACGUGACUCGCGUGACCUAUCGAUCAUUGGAGAUGACUGGCACUCCUUACCCUGCCCCCUUGCCUUGACUACAAUAAAUAGCAGCGCCUCCAGGCACUCGGGGCCACUACCUGUCUGUCUCCGCGCUUUGGUGGCAGUGGUCCCCCGGGCCCAGCUGUCUUUCUUCCUAUCUCUUUGUCUUCUGUCUUUAUCUCUUCGAUCUCUCGUCUCCGCACACACGCGAAGAGAAAACCCACAGACCCGGUAGGGGUGGACCCUACAUUAUCUCAGCUACAACAUAAUCAGGAUAUUCACGUGGACUACUGAGUCUUUCGGUGCCCCCUUGCUGUUUUAGUUUUGUCCUGCGGCCGAGUGUUUCCCUCGCUUCACGCCAACACAAUCUCCGCCGCCCUGUCUUGUCAUCCCCAUUCUACAGCCCAGCACGGUGUAGUAUGGCAGCCGCUAGCCACAGGUAUCUAGGGAGCCCUGGAAAUGUGGUCAGUUCUAAUGGAGCUGCGCUGUUAAGUGUGAAAUACACGUGGGAUUUUGACGGCAGUGGGAGCAAAAUUCUCCCAAUUUUUUUUUUUUUUUUUUUUUUUUUCAGACGGAGGUUCCGCUCUUGUUACCCAGCCUGGAGUCCAAUGGCGCGAUCUAGGCUCUCUGCAACCUCCGCCUCCCGGGUUCAAGCGAUUCCCCUGCCUCAGCCUCCCGAGCAGCUGGGACUACAGGCAUGUGCCACCACGCCCGGCUAACUUUGUAUUUUUAGUACAGAUGGGGUUUCUCCACGUUGCUCAGGCUGGUCUCCAACUCCCGACCUCCGGUGAUCUGCCCAGCUGCCGCCUCCCAAAGUGUUGCUUGCGAUUACAGGCUUGAGCCACCGCUCACCCUGGCUUUUUUUUUUUUUUUUCCAGACAAACUCUCGCUCUGUCGCCCAGGCUGGAGUGCAGUGGCGCGAUCUCGGCUCACUGCAGCCUCUACCUCCCGGGUUCCAGCGAUUCUCCUGCCUCAGCCUCCUGGGUAGCUGGGAUUACAGGCGCAGGCCACCACGCCCGGCUAAUUUUUGUAUUUUUAGGGGGUUUCGCCAUGUCGGCCAGGCUGGUCUCGAGCUCCUGACCUCAGGCGAUCCGCCCGCCUCGGCCUCCCAAAGCGCUGGGAUUACAGGCGUAAGCCACCGCGCCGGGCUCUUUCAUUCUGUCUUUAUUUUCUGAGAUAGAGUCCUGCUCGGACGCUCAGGUUGGACUGCAACGGCGUGAUCUCGGCUCGCUGAAACUUCCGCCUCCCGGGUUCAAGCGAUUCUCCUGUCUCAGCCUCCCGAGUAGCUGGGAUUAUUGACGGCAGCACCACGCCCGGCUACUUUUUGUGGUUUUUGUAUCUUCUGUCUUCUGCUCUUUAGUACCGCAUAGAGCCGCAGAAGACUAGCGAGUCGAACAAACGGCCCCUCUUGCAGCAGUUGUUGAUCACGGGCUGCCCCCCGGUACUCAUCCUGUGUCUCUCGUCCAAAUCCCCGCUCCUCCUCAGCUAUCACCUCUGCCGAUGCUGGUGGUUUCCCUGGGUACCGGGAACCAAACUCUCAUUCCCCAGCGCUAAGCCCCCCGUGCCAGGCCCUUCUCAAGUCAGGGUUCCUGCACAUUCACAGUUACGGUGGCCCUGGGAGUAACACCUGGCACCCAAACAGGUCACCAGAGUCCACACAUAGUCCACCUGCCCUCCCUGCGUAAGAUCAGCUCUUCCUCCUCCCGACGAUAGAUCAGGGUCAAUGAUCCCUGCCAAGAUGGCGACUGCUCCAGCCUGCUGGUCCAACCUGUCCAGCCACAGCUGUUGCUCGAAGGCUUGAAGUUCAAUGGGACCCUCUCCCGCUUUCUACAAACUGGUUCCUUUAUUUUUAUGUUUAUUUAUUUGGGACGGGGUCUGGCUCUGUCACCCAAGGCUGGAGUGCAGUGGUGCAAUCACUGCUCACUGCAGCAUCCACCUCCCAGCGUCCACCCAUCCUCCUGGCCUCAGCCUCCGGAACAGCUGGGGUACAGGUACGCCCCAGCCCGAACAGGUUUUCACUAGGUUGCCUGGGCUCUUUCUUUCUUUGUCUGUGUUUGUUUGUUGGUUGGUUGGUUGGUUGGUUGGUUUUUGUUUGUUUGUUUCGAGACGGGGCUCCGGCUCUGCCGCCGGGGGCUGCAGUGCAAUGGCGCGAUCUCACCUCACUGCGGCCUUCUGGGCUCAAGCGAUCCUCCCACUGUGCCCGGCCUGAAGACAGCCUUUAGAGAAAGAAGCAGGGGGAGUUCUUCCGAGGACAGACAAGAUUUCUGGAGUUUGGAAAGGGUGAGAGACUGGGUCAGCGAAAGGAACAUUCCGGUCUUUAUGUUGGGAUGCAACGUAUAGAUACAGGGAUGAGACCCAAAAGAGCCGGCAGAGGUUUGUCAUCGUGCUCGCAAGGCAACUGCCGGUGGCUGAUCCCGUAAAGGAUACACAUACCUAGAGCGGAGCCUAAAGAUGCAUCCAGCAUGACGGGUGGAGCCACGAUGCUUGGACUCGACUCUGCUCCUGUGCGUUCCGUGAUCAAUGGCUUAUACUACCUGCACCUCAGUUUUUCCCGGGCAAAAAAGGAAGCUUGCUGCCGGUGCGUUGGCACCUGCCUUAAAGUGCCAGCUACUCAGCGGGCUGAAGAGGAAGAAGUUCCUACUAGGAAGACACGUGGACACGUAUGUUUACUGCAGCACUAUUUACAAUAGCAAAGACUUGGAACCAACUCGAAUGCCCAUGAAUGAUAGGCUGGAUAAAGAAAGUGUGGCACGUAUACAGCAUGGAAUUACUACGCAGCCAUAAAAAAGGAUGAGUUCAUGACCUCUGCGGGAACGUGGAUGAAGCUGGAAGGCCUCAUUCUCAGCAAACUGACACAGGAAGCGAAAACCAAACACCGCAUGUUCUCGCUCCUAAGUGGGAGUUGAACAGCGAGAACACAUGGGACACAGGGAGGGGAACAUCACACGCCGGGCCCUGACGGGGCGUGGGGGGCAAGGGGAGAGAGAGCAUUAGGACAAAUAGCCAACGCAUGCGGGGCUUCAAACCUAGACGACUGGUGGAUAGGUGCAGCAAAGCACCGUGGCACACGUGUACCUAUGUUCCAAACCUGCACGUCCUGCACAUGUACCCCAGAACUUGGGAGGGGGUGGGGGAAACCAAAAGAGCGAGGGAGAGGCGGGGGGGGGAAAGAGAGAGAGAGAGGGAAAGAGAGAGAGAGACAGAGAGAGGAGAGAGAGAGUGAGAGAGAGAGAGAGAGAGAGAGAGACAGAGAGAGAGACAGAGAGACAGAGACAGACACAGAGAGACGGAGAGACAGAGAGAGAGAGAGAGAAAGAGAGAGAGAGAGAGAGAGACAGGAGAAAGAAGAACUCCGGGUGGGUCCCAUUCCUUUAAAAGGUCGCCACCCACUCGACUGCCAAGCUGAGAUCCUAAGGACCUCCCCAAAGGAGGAGGUCGUGGCCUUCCCAAAGCGCAGUAGCCACGGUGGAAACGAAAGCGUGCCACAUAAGCCUACCGUCUACCGCCCGCACAUCAGGAACCUCACGGUACUUCAGGGAAGCAGUUAAGUCAAGCCGGCGCGUCACAGGCACUCGGCGUGCAAGCCGCCCCGCAGGUGCUACCGUCUCUUACCUCCCUCUACUUUUAGGAAACACGUUGUAUCCCCGGAGGGGGUGCACCGUUCCUGGAGGUACUGCAAUACCAGGUCGAUGCGUGGAGUGGACGGAGCAAGCUCCUAUUCCAUCUCCCUGCUCCAAAAAUCCAUUUAAUAUAUUGUCCUCGGAUAGAGGACGUAUCAGAUAUUAAACUGAUAAGAACAGAUACUACACUUGAUCUUAGCCAAAAGGCCGAGAAGCGAUGCGCUCGCCUUCGCGCCCGCCGUCACCGUCCCACUCUCAUCCACAUUCAAGUCGCGGUGAGAGCCCCAGCCUCGCUCCUUGCCCCAUUCCCUCUGUCUCGUCCACAGCGCUAUUGACGCCCUUACACUCUCGGGCUGAUUUCUUAUUCUCCGCCUUUGAAAAGGGAAAUCUUACACCCGUGCUUCUUCCGGCGUUCCCGGGCUUUCAUUUCGAAUUUGCAUGCCCCGCCCUUUCACAGAGGGCGUGGCCUCCGCCGUUGACUCCGCCCCCGGGGCCGCCUCUGCCUGGGGGAGCCGGGGCUCCGCUGGGGGCGACUUCCUUGUUCGUAUCGAGCCAGCGAAAAGACAGAACCGGAAGAGACCGGGGGCGAAGGCGACAGGGGUCUGUGGAAGAGACCUGUCGGCGGAGAGCGGUCCACGUUUUCCUGGAGAAAGACGAGGCCCCAGGCAGGAGCGCGGGCUGCGUGGGCCUUUUACUUCGCCGCCCGGGUAAGUAACCGGGCCCCGUACCCGAGGGGACGGGGGAACCCCCAGCAAGCUGGAUAAAGUUCUUUCCGAGCACAGACUGGCGCCUGCGGGCUCAGCAUUUACCUCUCCCGUCCUUCCCUAACGCAACUUCAGCGGAGGGCUGAGGGGCUCUACUGCGCAUUACCUGGAAAACUUAUUUCACUCCACGGCCCUAAGAGGUGGGCCUUAUUAUUAGCCACGGCCAGGGUUAGGGUGAGGCCACUCCUCCAGGGCAGAAUUUCAGGGGGUGCCCACCCCCCCGCCCUAAAUCAUUCAGCAAUCAACAUAAAUUAUAGUUCAACGCAAUGUAUCUUAUCUUGUGGGCCGCAAGCCACCCAGGUGCCCAGGCAAGAGCCUGAAGGCACAAGCUGUUCCAGUACAGCGAAGAAAAUAAUUAGAAUAAGAAAAGUUUUACUAGAGAUAGGAAACGGAUAGGAUUAUAUCUGACUAUUAUUAAUCAUUAGUUUGUAGCAUCACUCUUUGUUCUAUUACCAUAAUGAUCUCUGUUCUAUUAUGAUUACCUUGGGGGAAACCAGGCCACACAGAGUUAGGAGCUGAAGGGCCACAGUGAGAGGUGACCAGAAGACGAGAGUGUGAGCCCUCAUUCACGCCCAGAGAAGGGCCGCUGGAGGGCUCCUUGGCCUAGCGGUAAUGCCAGUGCCUGGGAAGGCCCUGGUUACUUAGCAGGCCUUGGUCUAGCGGUGGCCCCAGUGCCUGGGAAGGCACCCGUUACUUAGCAGACCCGGAAAGGGAAUCUCCCUCUCUCCAGGGGAGACAGAGAACGCUCCGCUCCACCACCUCUUGUGGGAGGUCUGACAUUAGCCAGGCCGGCCCGCAGUCAUCCGGAGGCUCCAACGUCUGUCUCCCUGUGAUGCUGUGCUUCAGUGGUCACGCUCCUUGUUCACUUUCAUGUUCAGCCUGUACACCUGGCUCCUCCUUUUAAGUUCUUAGAAGACAGCAGUAGCAGAACUAGUAGGAGUACCACAGUCUUCGAUCUUUCUGAUAAGUGCAUAGAAGAAACGCUGACGUUUGCUGUCCUCCCUCUCCACCUCGGCUACCACAAAGGGAAAGGCCCCCUGUCCAGUGCACACGUGACUCGCGUGACCUAUCGAUCAUUGGAGAUGACUGGCACUCCUUACCCUGCCCCCUUGCCUUGACUACAAUAAAUAGCAGCGCCUCCAGGCACUCGGGGCCACUACCUGUCUGUCUCCGCGCUUUGGUGGCAGUGGUCCCCCGGGCCCAGCUGUCUUUCUUCCUAUCUCUUUGUCUUCUGUCUUUAUCUCUUCGAUCUCUCGUCUCCGCACACACGCGAAGAGAAAACCCACAGACCCGGUAGGGGUGGACCCUACAUUAUCUCAGCUACAACAUAAUCAGGAUAUUCACGUGGACUACUGAGUCUUUCGGUGCCCCCUUGCUGUUUUAGUUUUGUCCUGCGGCCGAGUGUUUCCCUCGCUUCACGCCAACACAAUCUCCGCCGCCCUGUCUUGUCAUCCCCAUUCUACAGCCCAGCACGGUGUAGUAUGGCAGCCGCUAGCCACAGGUAUCUAGGGAGCCCUGGAAAUGUGGUCAGUUCUAAUGGAGCUGUGCUGUAAGUGUGAAAUACACGUGGGAUUUUGACGGCAGUGGGAGCAAAAUUCUCCCAAUUUUUUUUUUUUUUUUUUUUUUUUUUCAGACGGAGGUUCCGCUCUUGUUACCCAGCCUGGAGUCCAAUGGCGCGAUCUAGGCUCUCUGCAACCUCCGCCUCCCGGGUUCAAGCGAUUCCCCUGCCUCAGCCUCCCGAGCAGCUGGGACUACAGGCAUGUGCCACCACGCCCGGCUAACUUUGUAUUUUUAGUACAGAUGGGGUUUCUCCACGUUGCUCAGGCUGGUCUCCAACUCCCGACCUCCGGUGAUCUGCCCAGCUGCCGCCUCCCAAAGUGUUGCUUGCGAUUACAGGCUUGAGCCACCGCUCACCCUGGCUUUUUUUUUUUUUUUUCCAGACAAACUCUCGCUCUGUCGCCCAGGCUGGAGUGCAGUGGCGCGAUCUCGGCUCACUGCAGCCUCUACCUCCCGGGUUCCAGCGAUUCUCCUGCCUCAGCCUCCUGGGUAGCUGGGAUUACAGGCGCAGGCCACCACGCCCGGCUAAUUUUUGUAUUUUUAGGGGGUUUCGCCAUGUCGGCCAGGCUGGUCUCGAGCUCCUGACCUCAGGCGAUCCGCCCGCCUCGGCCUCCCAAAGCGCUGGGAUUACAGGCGUAAGCCACCGCGCCGGGCUCUUUCAUUCUGUCUUUAUUUUCUGAGAUAGAGUCUCGCUCGGACGCUCAGGUUGGACUGCAACGGCGUGAUCUCGGCUCGCUGAAACUUCCGCCUCCCGGGUUCAAGCGAUUCUCCUGUCUCAGCCUCCCGAGUAGCUGGGAUUAUUGACGGGCAGCACCACGCCCGGCUACUUUUUGUGGUUUUUGUAUCUUCUGUCUUCUGCUCUUUAGUACCGCAUAGAGCCGCAGAAGACUAGCGAGUCGAACAAACGGCCCCUCUUGCAGCAGUUGUUGAUCACGGGGCUGCCCCCCGGUACUCAUCCUGUGUCUCUCGUCCAAAUCCCCGCUCCUCCUCAGCUAUCACCUCUGCCGAUGCUGGUGGUUUCCCUGGGUACCGGGAACCAAACUCUCAUUCCCCAGGGGCCCUAAGCCCCCCCGUGGCCAGGCCCUUCUCAAGUCAGGGUUCCUGCACAUUCACAGUUACGGGUGGCCCUGGGAGUAACACCUGGCACCCAAACAGGUCACCAGAGUCCACACAUAGUCCACCUGCCCUCCCUGCGUAAGAUCAGCUCUUCCUCCUCCCGACGAUAGAUCAGGGUCAAUGAUCCCUGCCAAGAUGGCGACUGCUCCAGCCUGCUGGUCCAACCUGUCCAGCCACAGCUGUUGCUCGAAGGCUUGAAGUUCAAUGGGACCCUCUCCCGCUUUCUACAAACUGGUUCCUUUAUUUUUAUGUUUAUUUAUUUGGGACGGGGUCUGGCUCUGUCACCCAGGCUGGAGUGCAGUGGUGCAAUCACUGCUCACAGCAGCAUCCACCUCCCAGCGUCCACCCAUCCUCCUGGCCUCAGCUCCGGAACAGCUGGGGUACAGGUACGAGUAGCAUACUAGUAGGAGUACCACAGUCUUCGAUCUUUCUGAUAAGUUGUUUCAGCUUGCGCUGACGUUUGCUGUCCUCCCUCUCCACCUCGGCUACCACAAAGGGAAAGGCCCCCUGUCCAGUGCACACGUGACUCGCGUGACCUAUCGAUCAUUGGAGAUGACUGGCACUCCUUACCCUGCCCCCUUGCCUUGACUACAAUAAAUAGCAGCGCCUCCAGGCACUCGGGGCCACUACCUGUCUGUCUCCGCGCUUUGGUGGCAGUGGUCCCCCGGGCCCAGCUGUCUUUCUUCCUAUCUCUUUGUCUUCUGUCUUUAUCUCUUCGAUCUCUCGUCUCCGCACACACGCGAAGAGAAAACCCACAGACCCGGUAGGGGUGGACCCUACAUUAUCUCAGCUACAACAUAAUCAGGAUAUUCACGUGGACUACUGAGUCUUUCGGUGCCCCCUUGCUGUUUUAGUUUUGUCCUGCGGCCGAGUGUUUCCCUCGCUUCACGCCAACACAAUCUCCGCCGCCCUGUCUUGUCAUCCCCAUUCUACAGCCCAGCACGGUGUAGUAUGGCAGCCGCUAGCCACAGGUAUCUAGGGAGCCCUGGAAAUGUGGUCAGUUCUAAUGGAGCUGUGCUGUAAGUGUGAAAUACACGUGGGAUUUUGACGGCAGUGGGAGCAAAAUUCUCCCAAUUUUUUUUUUUUUUUUUUUUUUUCAGACGGAGGUUCCGCUCUUGUUACCCAGCCUGGAGUCCAGUGGCGCGAUCUAGGCUCUCUGCAACCUCCGCCUCCCGGGUUCAAGCGAUUCCCCUGCCUCAGCCUCCCGAGCAGCUGGGACUACAGGCAUGUGCCACCACGCCCGGCUAACUUUGUAUUUUUAGUACAGAUGGGGUUUCUCCACGUUGCUCAGGCUGGUCUCCAACUCCCGACCUCCGGUGAUCUGCCCAGCUGCCGCCUCCCAAAGUGUUGCUUGCGAUUACAGGCUUGAGCCACCGCUCACCCUGGCUUUUUUUUUUUUUUUUUCCAGACAAACUCUCGCUCUGUCGCCCAGGCUGGAGUGCAGUGGCGCGAUCUCGGCUCACUGCAGCCUCUACCUCCCGGGUUCCAGCGAUUCUCCUGCCUCAGCCUCCUGGGUAGCUGGGAUUACAGGCGCAGGCCACCACGCCCGGCUAAUUUUUGUAUUUUUAGGGGGUUUCGCCAUGUCGGCCAGGCUGGUCUCGAGCUCCUGACCUCAGGCGAUCCGCCCGCCUCGGCCUCCCAAAGCGCUGGGAUUACAGGCGUAAGCCACCGCGCCGGGCUCUUUCAUUCUGUCUUUAUUUUCUGAGAUAGAGUCUCGCUCGGACGCUCAGGUUGGACUGCAACGGCGUGAUCUCGGCUCGCUGAAACUUCCGCCUCCCGGGUUCAAGCGAUUCUCCUGUCUCAGCCUCCCGAGUAGCUGGGAUUAUUGACGGGCAGCACCACGCCCGGCUACUUUUUGUGGUUUUUGUAUCUUCUGUCUUCUGCUCUUUACUACCGCAUAGAGCCGCAUAAGACCCCCCAGCAAGGUGGGAUAAAGUUUUCUCCGAGGCACAGAUCUGGCCCUGCGGGCUCAGCAUUUACCUCUCCCUUCCUCCUUCCAACGCAACUUCAGCGGAGGGCUGAGGGCUCUACUGCGCAUUACCUGGAAAACUUAUUUCACUCCACGCCCUAAGAGGUGGCCUUAUUAUUACCACGGCCAGGGUUAGGGUGAGGCCACUCCUCCAGGGCAGAAUUUCAGGGGUGCCACCCCCCCGCCCUAAAUCAUUCAGCAAUCAACAUAAAUUAUAGUUCAACGCAAUGUAUCUUAUCUUGUGGCCGCAAGCCACCCAGGUGCCCAGCAAGACCUGAAGGCACAAGCUGUUCCAGUACAGCGAAGAAAAUAAUUAGAAUAAGAAAAGUUUUACUAGAGAUAGGAAAACGGAUAGGAUUAUAUCUGACUAUUAUUAAUCAUUAGUUUGUAGCAUCACUCUUUGUUCUAUUACCAUAAUGAUCUCUGUUCUAUUAUGAUUACCUUGGGGGAAACCAGGCCACACAGAGUUAGGAGCUGAAGGGCCACAGUGAGAGGUGACCAGAAGACGAGAGUGUGAGCCCUCAUUCACGCCCAGAGAAGGGCCGCUGGAGGGCUCCUUGGCCUAGCGGUAAUGCCAGUGCCUGGGAAGGCCCUGGUUACUUAGCAGGCCUUGGUCUAGCGUGGCCCCAGUGCCUGGGAAGGCACCCGUUACUUAGCAGACCCGGAAAGGGAAUCUCCCUCUCUCCAGGGGAGACAGAGAACGCUCCGCUCCACCACCUCUUGUGGGAGGUCUGACAUUAGCCAGGCCGGCCCGCAGUCAUCCGGAGGCUCCAACGUCUGUCUCCCUGUGAUGCUGUGCUUCAGUGGUCACGCUCCUUGUUCACUUUCAUGUUCAGCCUGUACACCUGGCUCCUCCUUUUAAGUUCUUAGAAGACAGCAGUAGCAGAACUAGUAGGAGUACCACAGUCUUCGAUCUUUCUGAUAAGUGCAUAGAAGAAACGCUGACGUUUGCUGUCCUCCCUCUCCACCUCGGCUACCACAAAGGGAAAGGCCCCCUGUCCAGUGGACACGUGACUCGCGUGACCUAUCGAUCAUUGGAGAUGACUGGCACUCCUUACCCUGCCCCCUUGCCUUGACUACAAUAAAUAGCAGCGCCUCCAGGCACUCGGGGCCACUACCUGUCUGUCUCCGCGCUUUGGUGGCAGUGGUCCCCCGGGCCCAGCUGUCUUUCUUCCUAUCUCUUUGUCUUCUGUCUUUAUCUCUUCGAUCUCUCGUCUCCGCACACACGCGAAGAGAAAACCCACAGACCCGGUAGGGGUGGACCCUACAUUAUCUCAGCUACAACAUAAUCAGGAUAUUCACGUGGACUACUGAGUCUUUCGGUGCCCCCUUGCUGUUUUAGUUUUGUCCUGCGGCCGAGUGUUUCCCUCGCUUCACGCCAACACAAUCUCCGCCGCCCUGUCUUGUCAUCCCCAUUCUACAGCCCAGCACGGUGUAGUAUGGCAGCCGCUAGCCACAGGUAUCUAGGGAGCCCUGGAAAUGUGGUCAGUUCUAAUGGAGCUGUGCUGUAAGUGUGAAAUACACGUGGGAUUUUGACGGCAGUGGGAGCAAAAUUCUCCCAAUUUUUUUUUUUUUUUUUUUUUUUCAGACGGAGGUUCCGCUCUUGUUACCCAGCCUGGAGUCCAAUGGCGCGAUCUAGGCUCUCUGCAACCUCCGCCUCCCGGGUUCAAGCGAUUCCCCUGCCUCAGCCUCCCGAGCAGCUGGGACUACAGGCAUGUGCCACCACGCCCGGCUAACUUUGUAUUUUUAGUACAGAUGGGGUUUCUCCACGUUGCUCAGGCUGGUCUCCAACUCCCGACCUCCGGUGAUCUGCCCAGCUGCCGCCUCCCAAAGUGUUGCUUGCGAUUACAGGCUUGAGCCACCGCUCACCCUGGCUUUUUUUUUUUUUUUUCCAGACGGAGGUUCCGCUCUUGUUACCCAGCCUGGAGUCCAGUGGCGCGAUCUAGGCUCUCUGCAACCUCCGCCUCCCGGGUUCAAGCGAUUCCCCUGCCUCAGCCUCCCGAGCAGCUGGGACUACAGGCAUGUGCCACCACGCCCGGCUAACUUUGUAUUUUUAGUACAGAUGGGGUUUCUCCACGUUGCUCAGGCUGGUCUCCAACUCCCGACCUCCGGUGAUCUGCCCAGCUGCCGCCUCCCAAAGUGUUGCUUGCGAUUACAGGCUUGAGCCACCGCUCACCCUGGCUUUUUUUUUUUUUUUUUCCAGACAAACUCUCGCUCUGUCGCCCAGGCUGGAGUGCAGUGGCGCGAUCUCGGCUCACUGCAGCCUCUACCUCCCGGGUUCCAGCGAUUCUCCUGCCUCAGCCUCCUGGGUAGCUGGGAUUACAGGCGCAGGCCACCACGCCCGGCUAAUUUUUGUAUUUUUAGGGGGUUUCGCCAUGUCGGCCAGGCUGGUCUCGAGCUCCUGACCUCAGGCGAUCCGCCCGCCUCGGCCUCCCAAAGCGCUGGGAUUACAGGCGUAAGCCACCGCGCCGGGCUCUUUCAUUCUGUCUUUAUUUUCUGAGAUAGAGUCUCGCUCGGACGCUCAGGUUGGACUGCAACGGCGUGAUCUCGGCUCGCUGAAACUUCCGCCUCCCGGGUUCAAGCGAUUCUCCUGUCUCAGCCUCCCGAGUAGCUGGGAUUAUUGACGGGCAGCACGAUCAUUGGAGAUGACUGGCAUACCUUACCUGCCCCCUUGCCUUGACUACAAUAAAUAGCAGCCCUCCAGGCACUCGGGGCACUACCUGUCUGUCUCCGCGCUUUGGUGGCAGUGGUCCCCCGGGCCCAGCUGUCUUUCUUCCUAUCUCUUUGUCUUCUGUCUUUAUCUCUUCGAUCUCUCGUCUCCGCACACACGCGAAGAGAAAACCCACAGACCCGGUAGGGUGGACCCUACAUUAUCUCAGCUACAACAUAAUCAGGAUAUUCACGUGGACUACUGAGUCUUUCGGUGCCCCCUUGCUGUUUUAGUUUUGUCCUGCGGCCGAGUGUUUCCCUCGCUUCACGCCAACACAAUCUCCGCCGCCCUGUCUUGUCAUCCCCAUUCUACAGCCCAGCACGGUGUAGUAUGGCAGCCGCUAGCCACAGGUAUCUAGGGAGCCCUGGAAAUGUGGUCAGUUCUAAUGGAGCUGUGCUGUAAGUGUGAAAUACACGUGGGAUUUUGACGGCAGUGGGAGCAAAAUUCUCCCAAUUUUUUUUUUUUUUUUUUUUUUUUCAGACGGAGGUUCCGCUCUUGUUACCCAGCCUGGAGUCCAAUGGCGCGAUCUAGGCUCUCUGCAACCUCCGCCUCCCGGGUUCAAGCGAUUCCCCUGCCUCAGCCUCCCGAGCAGCUGGGACUACAGGCAUGUGCCACCACGCCCGGCUAACUUUGUAUUUUUAGUACAGAUGGGGUUUCUCCACGUUGCUCAGGCUGGUCUCCAACUCCCGACCUCCGGUGAUCUGCCCAGCUGCCGCCUCCCAAAGUGUUGCUUUCGAUUACAGGCUUGAGCCACCGCUCACCCUGGCUUUUUUUUUUUUUUUUUCCAGACAAACUCUCGCUCUGUCGCCCAGGCUGGAGUGCAGUGGCGCGAUCUCGGCUCACUGCAGCCUCUACCUCCCGGGUUCCAGCGAUUCUCCUGCCUCAGCCUCCUGGGUAGCUGGGAUUACAGGCGCAGGCCACCACGCCCGGCUAAUUUUUGUAUUUUUAGGGGGUUUCGCCAUGUCGGCCAGGCUGGUCUCGAGCUCCUGACCUCAGGCGAUCCGCCCGCCUCGGCCUCCCAAAGCGCUGGGAUUACAGGCGUAAGCCACCGCGCCGGGCUCUUUCAUUCUGUCUUUAUUUUCUGAGAUAGAGUCUCGCUCGGACGCUCAGGUUGGACUGCAACGGCGUGAUCUCGGCUCGCUGAAACUUCCGCCUCCCGGGUUCAAGCGAUUCUCCUGUCUCAGCCUCCCGAGUAGCUGGGAUUAUUGACGGGCAGCACCACGCCCGGCUACUUUUUGUGGUUUUUGUAUCUUCUGUCUUCUGCUCUUUAGUACCGCAUAGAGCCGCAGAAGACUAGCGAGUCGAACAAACGGCCCCUCUUGCAGCAGUUGUUGAUCACGGGGCUGCCCCCCGGUACUCAUCCUGUGUCUCUCGUCCAAAUCCCCGCUCCUCCUCAGCUAUCACCUCUGCCGAUGCUGGUGGUUUCCCUGGGUACCGGGAACCAAAACUCUCAUUCCCCAGGGGCCUAAAGCCCCCCCGUGGCCAGGCCCCCUGUGGAAGGCGCUCAGUAAACGUUUGUGGAGCGAAGAAACGACGCAAAGGUGAUGAGCACGACGCAGUUAGGAGGCUAUUGGCCCGGCGCGGGGGAAAAAGGGGAAGGUCGGGCUCGGGGUGGCAGGACCCCAGAGGCAUGGGGUGGCUGCAGGGGUGCUCUUGGGGCAAGGUGGGCGUCAAGGCCCCAGCAAGGUUGGGAUAAAGUUUCUCUCCGAGGCACAGACUGCCGCCUGGGCUCAGCAUUUACCUCUCCCUUCCUCCUUCCUAACGCAACUUCAGCGGAGGGCUGAGGGCUCUACUGCGCAUUACCUGGAAAACUUAUUUCACUCCACGGCCCUAAGAGGUGGGCCUUAUUAUUAGCCAUGCCAGGGUUAGGGUGAGGCACUCCUCCAGGGCAGAAUUUCAGGGGGUGCCAACCCGCGCCCUAAAUCAUUCAGCAAUCAACAUAAAUUAUAGUUCAACGCAAUGUAUCUUAUCUUGUGGGCCGCAAGCCACCCAGGUGCCCAGGCAAGAGCUGAAGGACAAGCUGUUCCAGUACAGCGAAGAAAAUAAUUAGAAUAAGAAAAGUUUUACUAGAGAUAGGAAACGGAUAGGAUUAUAUCUGACUAUUAUUAAUCAUUAGUUUGUAGCAUCACUCUUUGUUCUAUUACCAUAAUGAUCUCUGUUCUAUUAUGAUUACCUUGGGGGAAACCAGGCCACACAGAGUUAGGAGCUGAAGGGCCACAGUGAGAGGUGACCAGAAGACGAGAGUGUGAGCCCUCAUUCACGCCCAGAGAAGGGCCGCUGGAGGGCUCCUUGGCCUAGCGGUAAUGCCAGUGCCUGGGAAGCGCCUGGUUACUUAGCAGGCCUUGGUCUAGCGGUGGCCCCAGUGCUGGGAAGCACCGUUACUUAGCAGACCCGGAAAGGGAAUCUCCCUCUCUCCAGGGGAGACAGAGAACGCUCCGCUCCACCACCUCUUGUGGGAGGUCUGACAUUAGCCAGGCCGGCCCGCAGUCAUCCGGAGGCUCCAACGUCUGUCUCCCUGUGAUGCUGUGCUUCAGUGGUCACGCUCCUUGUUCACUUUCAUGUUCAGCCUGUACACCUGGCUCCUCCUUUUAAGUUCUUAGAAGACAGCAGUAGCAGAACUAGUAGGAGUACACAGUCUUCGAUCUUUCUGAUAAGUGCAUAGAAGAAACGCUGACGUUUGCUGUCCUCCCUCUCCACCUCGGCUACCACAAAGGGAAAGGCCCCCUGUCCAGUGGACACGUGACUCGCGUGACCUAUCGAUCAUUGGAGAUGACUGGCACUCCUUACCCUGCCCCCUUGCCUUGACUACAAUAAAUAGCAGCGCCUCCAGGCACUCGGGGCCACUACCUGUCUGUCUCCGCGCUUUGGUGGCAGUGGUCCCCCGGGCCCAGCUGUCUUUCUUCCUAUCUCUUUGUCUUCUGUCUUUAUCUCUUCGAUCUCUCGUCUCCGCACACACGCGAAGAGAAAACCCACAGACCCGGUAGGGGUGGACCCUACAUUAUCUCAGCUACAACAUAAUCAGGAUAUUCACGUGGACUACUGAGUCUUUCGGUGCCCCCUUGCUGUUUUAGUUUUGUCCUGCGGCCGAGUGUUUCCCUCGCUUCACGCCAACACAAUCUCCGCCGCCCUGUCUUGUCAUCCCCAUUCUACAGCCCAGCACGGUGUAGUAUGGCAGCCGCUAGCCACAGGUAUCUAGGGAGCCCUGGAAAUGUGGUCAGUUCUAAUGGAGCUGUGCUGUAAGUGUGAAAUACACGUGGGAUUUUGACGGCAGUGGGAGCAAAAUUCUCCCAAUUUUUUUUUUUUUUUUUUUUUUUCAGACGGAGGUUCCGCUCUUGUUACCCAGCCUGGAGUCCAAUGGCGCGAUCUAGGCUCUCUGCAACCUCCGCCUCCCGGGUUCAAGCGAUUCCCCUGCCUCAGCCUCCCGAGCAGCUGGGACUACAGGCAUGUGCCACCACGCCCGGCUAACUUUGUAUUUUUAGUACAGAUGGGGUUUCUCCACGUUGCUCAGGCUGGUCUCCAACUCCCGACCUCCGGUGAUCUGCCCAGCUGCCGCCUCCCAAAGUGUUGCUUGCGAUUACAGGCUUGAGCCACCGCUCACCCUGGCUUUUUUUUUUUUUUUUCCAGACAAACUCUCGCUCUGUCGCCCAGGCUGGAGUGCAGUGGCGCGAUCUCGGCUCACUGCAGCCUCUACCUCCCGGGUUCCAGCGAUUCUCCUGCCUCAGCCUCCUGGGUAGCUGGGAUUACAGGCGCAGGCCACCACGCCCGGCUAAUUUUUGUAUUUUUAGUACCUCCCUCCCCUCCCCCCCCGUUGCUCAGGCUGGUCUCCAACUCCCUUCUUGGGAGAGAUCUGCCCAGCUGCCGCCUCCCAAAGUGUUGCUUGCGAUUACAGGCUUGAGCACCGCUCACCCUGGCUUUUUUUUUUUUUUUUUCCAGACAAACUCUCGCUCUGUCGCCCAGGCUGGAGUGCAGUGGCGCAUUCUCGGCUCACUGCAGCCUCUACCUCCCGGGUUCCAGCGAUUCUCCUGCCUCAGCCUCCUGGGUAGCUGGGAUUACAGGCGCAGCGCACCACGCCCGGCUAAUUUUUGUAUUUUUAGGGGGUUUCGCCAUGUCGGCCAGGCUGGUCUCGAGCUCCUGACCUCAGGCGAUCCGCCGCCUCGGCCUCCCAAAGCGCUGGGAUUACAGGCGUACAGCCGCGCCGGGCUCUUUCAUUCUGUCUUUAUUUUCUGAGAUAGAGUCUCGCUCGGACGCUCAGGUUGGACUGCAACGGCGUGAUCUCGGCUCGCUGAAACUUCCGCCUCCCGGGUUCAAGCGAUUCUCCUGUCUCAGCCUCCCGAGUAGCUGGGAUUAUUGACGGGCAGCACCACGCCCGGCUACUUUUUGUGGUUUUUGUAUCUUCUGUCUUCUGCUCUUUAGUACCGCAUAGAGCCGCAGAAGACUAGCGAGUCGAACAAACGGCCCCUCUUGCAGCAGUUGUUGAUCACGGGGCUGCCCCCCGGUACUCAUCCUGUGUCUCUCGUCCAAAUCCCCGCUCCUCCUCAGCUAUCACCUCUGCCGAUGCUGGUGGUUUCCCUGGGUACCGGGAACCAAACUCUCAUUCCCCAGGGGCCUAAGCCCCCCGUGGCCAGGCCCUUCUCAAGUCAGGGUUCCUGCACAUUCACAGUUACGGGUGGCCCUGGGAGUAACACCUGGCACCCAAACAGGUCACCAGAGUCCACACAUAGUCCACCUGCCCUCCCUGCGUAAGAUCAGCUCUUCCUCCUCCCGACGAUAGAUCAGGGUCAAUGAUCCCUGCCAAGAUGGCGACUGCUCCAGCCUGCUGGUCCAAACCUGUCCAGCCACAGCUGUUGCUCGAAGGCUUGAAGUUCAAUGGGACCCUCUCCCCGCUUUCUACAAACUGGUUCCUUUAUUUUUAUGUUUAUUUAUUUGGGACGGGGUCUGGCUCUGUCACCCAGGCUGGAGUGCAGUGGUGCAAUCACUGCUCACUGCAGCAUCCACCUCCCAGCGUCCACCCAUCCUCCUGGCCUCAGCCUCCGGAACAGCUGGGGUACAGGUACGCCCCAGCCCGAACAGGUUUUCACUAGGUUGCCUGGGCUCUUUCUUUCUUUGUCUGUGUUUGUUUGUUGGUUGGUUGGUUGGUUGGUUGGUUUUUGUUUGUUUGUUUCGAGACGGGGCUCCGGCUCUGCCGCCGGGGGCUGCAGUGCAAUGGCGCGAUCUCACCUCACUGCGGCCUUCUGGGCUCAAGCGAUCCUCCCACUGUGCCCGGCCUGAAGACAGCCUUUAGAGAAAGAAGCAGGGGGAGUUCUUCCGAGGACAGACAAGAUUUCUGGAGUUUGGAAAGGGUGAGAGACUGGGUCAGCGAAAGGAACAUUCCGGUCUUUAUGUUGGGAUGCAACGUAUAGAUACAGGGAUGAGACCCAAAAGAGCCGGCAGAGGUUUGUCAUCGUGCUCGCAAGGCAACUGCCGGUGGCUGAUCCCGUAAAGGAUACACAUACCUAGAGCGGAGCCUAAAGAUGCAUCCAGCAUGACGGGUGGAGCCACGAUGCUUGGACUCGAGCUCUGCUCCUGUGCGUUCCGUGAUCAAUGGCUUAUACUACCUGCACCUCAGUUUUUCCCGGGCAAAAAAGGAAGCUUGCUGCCGGUGCGUUGGCACCUGCCUUAAAGUGCCAGCUACUCAGCGGGCUGAAGAGGAAGAAGUUCCUACUAGGAAGACACGUGGACACGUAUGUUUACUGCAGCACUAUUUACAAUAGCAAAGACUUGGAACCAACUCGAAUGCCCAUGAAUGAUAGGCUGGAUAAAGAAAGUGUGGCACGUAUACAGCAUGGAAUUACUACGCAGCCAUAAAAAAGGAUGAGUUCAUGACCUCUGCGGGAACGUGGAUGAAGCUGGAAGGCCUCAUUCUCAGCAAACUGACACAGGAAGCGAAAACCAAACACCGCAUGUUCUCGCUCCUAAGUGGGAGUUGAACAGCGAGAACACAUGGGACACAGGGAGGGGAACAUCACACGCCGGGCCCUGACGGGGCGUGGGGGGCAAGGGGAGAGAGAGCAUUAGGACAAAUAGCCAACGCAUGCGGGGCUUCAAACCUAGACGACUGGUGGAUAGGUGCAGCAAAGCACCGUGGCACACGUGUACCUAUGUUCCAAACCUGCACGUCCUGCACAUGUACCCCAGAACUUGGGAGGGGGUGGGGGAAACCAAAAGAGCGAGGGAGAGGCGGGGGGGGGGAAGAGAGAGAGAGAGGGAAAGAGAGAGAGAGACAGAGAGAGGAGAGAGAGAGAGAGAGAGAGAGAGAGAGAGAGACAGAGAGAGAGACAGAGAGACAGAGACAGACACAGAGAGACGGAGAGACAGAGAGAGAGAGAGAGAAAGAGAGAGAGAGAGAGAGAGAGAGAGAGAGAGACAGGAGAAAGAAGAACUCCGGGUGGGUCCCAUUCCUUUAAAAGGUCGCCACCCACUCGACUGCCAAGCUGAGAUCCUAAGGACCUCCCCAAAGGAGGAGGUCAUGGCCUUCCCAAAGCGCAGUAGCCACGGUGGAAACGAAAGCGUGCCGCAUAAGCCUACCGUCUACCGCCCACACAUCAGGAACCUCAAGGUACUUCAGGGAAGCAGUUAAGUCAAGCCGGCGCGUCACAGGCACUCGGCGUGCAAGCCGCCCCGCAGGUGCUACCGUCUCUUACCUCCCUCUACUUUUAGGAAACACGUUGUAUCCCCGGAGGGGGUGCACCGUUCCUGGAGGUACUGCAAUACCAGGUCGAUGCGUGGAGUGGACGGAGCAAGCUCCUAUUCCAUCUCCCUGCUCCAAAAAUCCAUUUAAUAUAUUGUCCUCGGAUAGAGGACGUAUCAGAUAUUAAACUGAUAAGAACAGAUACUACACUUGAUCUUAGCCAAAAGGCCGAGAAGCGAUGCGCUCGCCUUCGCGCCCGCCGUCACCGUCCCACUCUCAUCCACAUUCAAGUCGCGGUGAGAGCCCCAGCCUCGCUCCUUGCCCCAUUCCCUCUGUCUCGUCCACAGCGCUAUUGACGCCCUUACACUCUCGGGCUGAUUUCUUAUUCUCCGCCUUUGAAAAGGGAAAUCUUACACCCGUGCUUCUUCCGGCGUUCCCGGGCUUUCAUUUCGAAUUUGCAUGCCCCGCCCUUUCACAGAGGGCGUGGCCUCCGCCGUUGACUCCGCCCCCGGGGCCGCCUCUGCCUGGGGGAGCCGGGGCUCCGCUGGGGGCGACUUCCUUGUUCGAAUCGAGCCCCCGAAAAAACAGACCCGGAAGAGACCGGGCGCGAAUGCGACCGGGUUCUGUGGAAGAUAACUGUCGACAGAGAGCGGACCCCGUUUUCCUGAAGAAAGACCAAGCCCCAAUGCAGGAGCGCGGGCUGCGCUGGACCUUUACAUCGCCACCCGCUGUCGGAGAGACCGGCCCCGUACCCGAGGGGACGAGGGGACGAGGGGCCCAUGCCCAGUCAGGGAAGCCGAAGGCCUGGAGGGGCUUCCGGGAGCAGGGGCUGGAGUUCCUCUGCCAGGCAGGAGGCUGGCACCAGACACCCGGCAGAGGGAGGCGGCGAGGGCCCAGCAAGGAUUCUCCCCAGCCCCUGUGCCUGCGUCUCCUGCGGCUUCUGUGCGCGGACCGUGUCCUGUGCUGUGUAGGGAACGCUGCCUCUCUGCUCGGGACGUGGAUUCCUUUCCCCUCCUCCUCGCCCGGCUACUUCUGACGCAGGUCGUCAGGACUCCGCUUGGGUGUCACCCGUGCAGGAAGCCUCCCUUAGUCAAGGGCCCUCGGCACCCGCCCCAUAUGUGACUAGCAGCCCUCCUGUGUAUUUCAUCGCGCCCCCGUUGUUUAUAUCAGCCAUUCCACUCACCACCCUUCUGGGCAACCCUUUAUCUCCCGCUCUGAAAUCCCAUCGCUGAGGGCUGGGACCCCUCCUCAGUGCUUAUCCCUGUUUCCCCGCGCGAGUCUGGCGCCUGGCGUGUGGAAGGCGCUCAGUAAACGUUUGUGGAGCGAAGAAACGACGCAAAGGUGAUGAGCACGACGCAGUUAGGAGGCUAUUGGCCCGGCGCGGGGGAAAAGGGGGAAGGUCGGGCUCGGGGUGGCAGGACCCCAGAGGGCAGGGGUGGCUGCCGGGGUGCUCUUGGGGCAAGGUGGGCGUCAAGGCCCCCAGCAAGGUUGGGAUAAAGUUUCUCUCCGAGGCACAGACUGCCGCCUGCGGGCUCAGCAUUUACCUCUCCCUUCCUCCUUCCUAACGCAACUUCAGCGGAGGGCUGAGGGCUCUACUGCGCAUUACCUGGAAAACUUAUUUCACUCCACGGCCCUAAGAGGUGGGCCUUAUUAUUAGCCACGGCCAGGGUUAGGGUGAGGCCACUCCUCCAGGGCAGAAUUUCAGGGGGUGCCCACCCCCCCGCCCUAAAUCAUUCAGCAAUCAACAUAAAUUAUAGUUCAACGCAAUGUAUCUUAUCUUGUGGGCCGCAAGCCACCCAGGUGCCCAGGCAAGAGCCUGAAGGCACAAGCUGUUCCAGUACAGCGAAGAAAAUAAUUAGAAUAAGAAAAGUUUUACUAGAGAUAGGAAACGGAUAGGAUUAUAUCUGACUAUUAUUAAUCAUUAGUUUGUAGCAUCACUCUUUGUUCUAUUACCAUAAUGAUCUCUGUUCUAUUAUGAUUACCUUGGGGGAAACCAGGCCACACAGAGUUAGGAGCUGAAGGGCCACAGUGAGAGGUGACCAGAAGACGAGAGUGUGAGCCCUCAUUCACGCCCAGAGAAGGGCCGCUGGAGGGCUCCUUGGCCUAGCGGUAAUGCCAGUGCCUGGGAAGGGCCCUGGUUUACUUAGCAGGCCUUGGUCUAGCGGUGGCCCCAGUGCCUGGGAAGGCACCCGUUACUUAGCAGACCCGGGAAAGGAAAUCUCCCCUCUCUCCAGGGGAGACAGAAGAACGCUCGGCUCAACACUCUUGUGGGGAGGUCUGACAUUAGCCAGGCCGGCCCGCAGUCAUCCGGAGGCUCCAAUUUAAGGUUCAGUGUGAUGCUGUGCUUCAGUGGUCACGCUCCUUGUUCACUUUCAUGUUCAGCCUGUACACCUGGCUCCUCCUUUUAAGUUCUUAGAAGACAGCAGUAGCAGAACUAGUAGGAGUACCACAGUCUUCGAUCUUUCUGAUAAGUGCAUAGAAGAAACGCUGACGUUUGCUGUCCUCCCUCUCCACCUCGGCUACCACAAAGGGAAAGGCCCCCUGUCCAGUGGACACGUGACUCGCGUGACCUAUCGAUCAUUGGAGAUGACUGGCACUCCUUACCCUGCCCCCUUGCCUUGACUACAAUAAAUAGCAGCGCCUCCAGGCACUCGGGGCCACUACCUGUCUGUCUCCGCGCUUUGGUGGCAGUGGUCCCCCGGGCCCAGCUGUCUUUCUUCCUAUCUCUUUGUCUUCUGUCUUUAUCUCUUCGAUCUCUCGUCUCCGCACACACGCGAAGAGAAAACCCACAGACCCGGUAGGGGUGGACCCUACAUUAUCUCAGCUACAACAUAAUCAGGAUAUUCACGUGGACUACUGAGUCUUUCGGUGCCCCCUUGCUGUUUUAGUUUUGUCCUGCGGCCGAGUGUUUCCCUCGCUUCACGCCAACACAAUCUCCGCCGCCCUGUCUUGUCAUCCCCAUUCUACAGCCCAGCACGGUGUAGUAUGGCAGCCGCUAGCCACAGGUAUCUAGGGAGCCCUGGAAAUGUGGUCAGUUCUAAUGGAGCUGUGCUGUAAGUGUGAAAUACACGUGGGAUUUUGACGGCAGUGGGAGCAAAAUUCUCCCAAUUUUUUUUUUUUUUUUUUUUUUUUCAGACGGAGGUUCCGCUCUUGUUACCCAGCCUGGAGUCCAAUGGGCGCGAUCUAGGCUCUCUGCAACCUCCGCCUCCCGGGUUCAAGCGAUUCCCCUGCCUCAGCCUCCCGAGCAGCUGGGACUACAGGCAUGUGCCACCACGCCCGGCUAACUUUGUAUUUUUUAGUACAGAUGGGGUUUCUCCACGUUGCUCAGGCUGGUCUCCAACUCCCGACCUCCGGUGAUCUGCCCAGCUGCCGCCUCCCAAAGUGUUGCUUUCGAUUACAGGCUUGAGCCACCGCUCACCCUGGCUUUUUUUUUUUUUUUUCUUAUGUUAGUAUACAGCGUAUAGAUACAGGUAUUAUACCCAAAAGAGCCGACAGAGGUUUGUCAUCGUGCGCGCAAGGCAACUACCGGUGGCUGAUCCCGUAAAGGAUACACAUACCUAGAGCGGAGCCUAAAAAUGCAUCCAGCAUGACGGGUGGAGCCACGAUGCUUGGACUCGAGCUCUGCUCCUGUGCGUUCCGUGAUCAAUGGCUUAUACUACCUGCACCUCAGUUUUUCCCGGGCAAAAAAGGAAGCUUGCUGCCGGUGCGUUGGCACCUGCCUUAAAGUGCCAGCUACUCAGCGGGCUGAAGAGGAAGUAGUUCCUCUUAGGAAGACACGUGGACAGGUUUGUCACUGCAGCAUUAUUUUCAAUAGCAAAGUCUGGGUCCCCACUGGAAUGCCCAUGAAUGAUAGGCUGGAUAAAGAAAGAGUGGCAGGUAUACAUCAUGGAAAAACUAAGCAGCCCAUAAAAAAAGGGAUGAGUUCAUGACCUCUGCGGGAACGUGGAUGAAGGCUGGAAGGCCUCAUUCUCAGCAAACUGACACAGGAAGGGAAAAACCAAACACCGCAUGUUCUCGCUCUUAGUGGGAGUUGAACAGCGAGAACACAUGGGACACAGGGAGGGGAACAUCACACGCCGGGCCCUGACGGGGCGUGGGGGGCAAGGGGAGAGAGAGCAUUAGGACAAAUAGCCAACGCAUGCGGGGCUUCAAACCUAGACGACUGGUGGAUAGGUGCAGCAAAGCACCGUGGCACACGUGUACCUAUGUUCCAAACCUGCACGUCCUGCACAUGUACCCCAGAACUUGGGAGGGGGUGGGGGAAACCAAAAGAGCGAGGGAGAGGCGGGGGGGGGGGAAGAGAGAGAGAGAGGGAAAGAGAGAGAGAGACAGAGAGAGGAGAGAGAGAGAGAGAGAGAGAGAGAGAGAGAGACAGAGAGAGAGACAGAGAGACAGAGACAGACACAGAGAGACGGAGAGACAGAGAGAGAGAGAGAGAAAGAGAGAGAGAGAGAGAGAGAGAGAGAGAGAGACAGGAGAAAGAAGAACUCCGGGUGGGUCCCAUUCCUUUAAAAGGUCGCCACCCACUCGACUGCCAAGCUGAGAUCCUAAGGACCUCCCCAAAGGAGGAGGUCAUGGCCUUCCCAAAGCGCAGUAGCCACGGUGGAAACGAAAGCGUGCCGCAUAAGCCUACCGUCUACCGCCCGCACAUCAGGAACCUCAAGGUACUUCAGGGAAGCAGUUAAGUCAAGCCGGCGCGUCACAGGCACUCGGCGUGCAAGCCGCCCCGCAGGUGCUACCGUCUCUUACCUCCCUCUACUUUUAGGAAACACGUUGUAUCCCCGGAGGGGGUGCACCGUUCCUGGAGGUACUGCAAUACCAGGUCGAUGCGUGGAGUGGACGGAGCAAGCUCCUAUUCCAUCUCCCUGCUCCAAAAAUCCAUUUAAUAUAUUGUCCUCGGAUAGAGGACGUAUCAGAUAUUAAACUGAUAAGAACAGAUACUACACUUGAUCUUAGCCAAAAGGCCGAGAAGCGAUGCGCUCGCCUUCGCGCCCGCCGUCACCGUCCCACUCUCAUCCACAUUCAAGUCGCGGUGAGAGCCCCAGCCUCGCUCCUUGCCCCAUUCCCUCUGUCUCGUCCACAGCGCUAUUGACGCCCUUACACUCUCGGGCUGAUUUCUUAUUCUCCGCCUUUUGAAAAGGGAAAUCUUACACCCGUGCUUCUUCCGGCGUUCCCGGGGCUUUCAUUUUCGAAUUUGCAUGCCCCCGCCCUUUCACAGAGGGCGGUGGGCCUCCGCCGUUGACUCCGCCCCCAAAGAGCCCGGCAGAGGGUUUUGUCAUCGUGCUCGCAAGUGCAACUGCCGGUGGCUGAUCCCCGUAAAGGAUACACAUGCCUUGAGCGGAGCCUAAAGAUGCAUCCAGCAUGACGGGGUGGAGCCCACGAUGCUUGGGACUCGAGCUUUGGCUCCUGUGCGUUCCGUGAUCAAUGGCUUAUACUACCUGCACCUCAGUUUUUCCCGGGCAAAAAAAGGAAGCUUGCUGCCGGUGCGUUGGCACCUGCCUUAAAGUGCCAGCUACUCAGCGGGCUGAAGAGGAAGAAGUUCCUACUAGGAAGACACGUGGACACGUAUGUUUACUGCAGCACUAUUUACAAUAGCAAAGACUUGGAACCAACUCGAAUGCCCAUGAAUGAUAGGCUGGAUAAAGAAAGUGUGGCACGUAUACAGCAUGGAAUUACUACGCAGCCAUAAAAAAGGAUGAGUUCAUGACCUCUGCGGGAACGUGGAUGAAGCUGGAAGGCCUCAUUCUCAGCAAACUGACACAGGAAGCGAAAACCAAACACCGCAUGUUCUCGCUCCUAAGUGGGAGUUGAACAGCGAGAACACAUGGGACACAGGGAGGGGAACAUCACACGCCGGGCCCUGACGGGGCGUGGGGGGCAAGGGGAGAGAGAGCAUUAGGACAAAUAGCCAACGCAUGCGGGGCUUCAAACCUAGACGACUGGUGGAUAGGUGCAGCAAAGCACCGUGGCACACGUGUACCUAUGUUCCAAACCUGCACGUCCUGCACAUGUACCCCAGAACUUGGGAGGGGGUGGGGGAAACCAAAAGAGCGAGGGAGAGGCGGGGGGGGGGAAAGAGAGGGAGAGAGGGAAAGAGAGAGAGAGACAGGAGAGAGGAGAGAGAGAGAGAGAGAGAGAGACAGAGAGACAGAGACAGACACAGAGAGACGGAGAGACAGAGAGAGAGAGAGAGAGAGAGAGAGACAGGAGAAAGAAGAACUCCGGGUGGGUCCCAUUCCUUUAAAAGGUCGCCACCCACUCGACUGCCAAGCUGAGAUCCUAAGGACCUCCCCAAAGGAGGAGGUCGUGGCCUUCCCAAAGCGCAGUAGCCACGGUGGAAACGAAAGCGUGCCGCAUAAGCCUACCGUCUACCGCCCGCACAUCAGGAACCUCAAGGUACUUCAGGGAAGCAGUUAAGUCAAGCCGGCGCGUCACAGGCACUCGGCGUGCAAGCCGCCCCGCAGGUGCUACCGUCUCUUACCUCCCUCUACUUUUAGGAAACACGUUGUAUCCCCGGAGGGGGUGCACCGUUCCUGGAGGUACUGCAAUACCAGGUCGAUGCGUGGAGUGGACGGAGCAAGCUCCUAUUCCAUCUCCCUGCUCCAAAAAUCCAUUUAAUAUAUUGUCCUCGGAUAGAGGACGUAUCAGAUAUUAAACUGAUAAGAACAGAUACUACACUUGAUCUUAGCCAAAAGGCCGAGAAAGCGAUGCGCUCGCCUUCGCGCCCGCCGUCACCGUCCCACUCUCAUCCACAUUCAAGUCGCGGUGAGAGCCCCAGCCUCGCUCCUUGCCCCAUUCCCUCUGUCUCGUCCACAGCGCUAUUGACGCCCUUACACUCUCGGGCUGAUUUCUUAUUCUCCGCCUUGAAAAGGGAAAUCUACACCCGUGCUUCUUCCGGCGUUCCCGGGCUUUCAUUUCGAAUUUGCAUGCCCCGCCCUUUCACAGAGGGCGUGGCCUCCGCCGUUGACUCCGCCCCCGGGGCCGCCUCUGCCUGGGGGAGCCGGGGCUCCGCUGGGGGCGACUUCCUUGUUCGUAUCGAGCCAGCGAAAAGACAGAACCGGAAGAGACCGGGGGCGAAGGCGACAGGGGUCUGUGGAAGAGACCUGUCGGCGGAGAGCGGUCCACGUUUUCCUGGAGAAAGACGAGGCCCCAGGGCAGGAGCGCGGGCUGCGCUGGGCCUUUACUUCGCCGCCCGCGGGCGGGGAGACCGGCCCCGUACCCGAGGGGACGAGGGGACGAGGGGCCCAUGCCCAGUCAGGGAAGCCGAAGGCCUGGAGGGGCUUCCGGGAGCAGGGGCUGGAGUUCCUCUGCCAGGCAGGAGGCUGGCACCAGACACCCGGCAGAGGGAGGCGGCGAGGGCCCAGCAAGGAUUCUCCCCAGCCCCUGUGCCUGCGUCUCCUGCGGCUUCUGUGCGCGGACCGUGUCCUGUGCUGUGUAGGGAACGCUGCCUCUCUGCUCGGGACGUGGAUUCCUUUCCCCUCCUCCUCGCCCGGCUACUUCUGACGCAGGUCGUCAGGACUCCGCUUGGGUGUCACCCGUGCAGGAAGCCUCCCUUAGUCAAGGGCCCUCGGCACCCGCCCCAUAUGUGACUAGCAGCCCUCCUGUGUAUUUCAUCGCGCCCCCGUUGUUUAUAUCAGCCAUUCCACUCACCACCCUUCUGGGCAACCCUUUAUCUCCCGCUCUGAAAUCCCAUCGCUGAGGGCUGGGACCCCUCCUCAGUGCUUAUCCCUGUUUCCCCGCGCGAGUCUGGCGCCUGGCGUGUGGAAGGCGCUCAGUAAACGUUUGUGGAGCGAAGAAACGACGCAAAGGUGAUGAGCACGACGCAGUUAGGAGGCUAUUGGCCCGGCGCGGGGGAAAAGGGGGAAGGUCGGGCUCGGGGUGGCAGGACCCCAGAGGGCAGGGGUGGCUGCCGGGGUGCUCUUGGGGCAAGGUGGGCGUCAAGGCCCCCAGCAAGGUUGGGAUAAAGUUUCUCUCCGAGGCACAGACUGCCGCCUGCGGGCUCAGCAUUUACCUCUCCCUUCCUCCUUCCUAACGCAACUUCAGCGGAGGGCUGAGGGCUCUACUGCGCAUUACCUGGAAAACUUAUUUCACUCCACGGCCCUAAGAGGUGGGCCUUAUUAUUAGCCAUGGCCAGGGUUAGGGUGAGGCCACUCCUCCAGGGCAGAAUUUCAGGGGGUGCCCACCCCCCCGCCCUAAAUCAUUCAGCAAUCAACAUAAAUUAUAGUUCAACGCAAUGUAUCUUAUCUUGUGGGCCGCAAGCCACCCAGGUGCCCAGGCAAGAGCCUGAAGGCACAAGCUGUUCCAGUACAGCGAAGAAAAUAAUUAGAAUAAGAAAAGUUUUACUAGAGAUAGGAAACGGAUAGGAUUAUAUCUGACUAUUAUUAAUCAUUAGUUUGUAGCAUCACUCUUUGUUCUAUUACCAUAAUGAUCUCUGUUCUAUUAUGAUUACCUUGGGGGAAACCAGGCCACACAGAGUUAGGAGCUGAAGGGCCACAGUGAGAGGUGACCAGAAGACGAGAGUGUGAGCCCUCAUUCACGCCCAGAGAAGGGCCGCUGGAGGGCUCCUUGGCCUAGCGGUAAUGCCAGUGCCUGGGAAGGCCCUGGUUACUUAGCAGGCCUUGGUCUAGCGGUGGCCCCAGUGCCUGGGAAGGCACCCGUUACUUAGCAGACCCGGAAAGGGAAUCUCCCUCUCUCCAGGAGAGACAGAGUGUGAGCCACUGUGCCCGGCUGGGAGCAAGACUGGAGCAAGACUCCAUCUCAAAAAAAUAAAAUAAAAUAAAUAAGUGAAUUAAUUAAUUAAAGGCCAGGCAUGGUGGUUCACACUUGUCAACAUUUUGGGAGACUUAGGUGGGAGGAUUGCUUGAGUCCAGGAGUUCCAGACCAGCCAGGGCAACAUAGUGAGACCCUGUCUGUAUUACAAUAAUAAAAUCAAAUAAAGUUUUUAAUUUUUUUUUGAGACAAGAGUCUCACUCUAUCACUCAGGUCAGAGUGCAGUGGCACUAUCUUGGCUCACUGCAACCUCCACCUCACUGAUUCAAGUGAUUCUCAUGCCUCAGUCUCCCCAGGUAGCUGGAAUUCCAGGCAAGCGCCACCAUGCCUAGCUACUUUUUGUACUUUUAGUAGAGACCAGGUUUCGCCAUGUUGGCCAGGCUGGUCUUGAACUCCUGACCUCCUCUGAUCCACCCACCUUGGCCUCCCAAAGUGCUGGAUUAACUUUAACCACCAUGCCCGGCCAAAAUAACAUUGUAAAAACUAAAUUAAAUUAUAUAAUGACGUUUGCUGUCCUCCCUCUCCACCUCGGCUACCACAAAGGGAAAGGCCCCCUGUCCAGUGGACACGUGACUCGCGUGACCUAUCGAUCAUUGGAGAUGACUGGCACUCCUUACCCUGCCCCCUUGCCUUGACUACAAUAAAUAGCAGCGCCUCCAGGCACUCGGGGCCACUACCUGUCUGUCUCCGCGCUUUGGUGGCAGUGGUCCCCCGGGCCCAGCUGUCUUUCUUCCUAUCUCUUUGUCUUCUGUCUUUAUCUCUUCGAUCUCUCGUCUCCGCACACACGCGAAGAGAAAACCCACAGACCCGGUAGGGGUGGACCCUACAUUAUCUCAGCUACAACAUAAUCAGGAUAUUCACGUGGACUACUGAGUCUUUCGGUGCCCCCUUGCUGUUUUAGUUUUGUCCUGCGGCCGAGUGUUUCCCUCGCUUCACGCCAACACAAUCUCCGCCGCCCUGUCUUGUCAUCCCCAUUCUACAGCCCAGCACGGUGUAGUAUGGCAGCCGCUAGCCACAGGUAUCUAGGGAGCCCUGGAAAUGUGGUCAGUUCUAAUGGAGCUGCGCUGUUAAGUGUGAAAUACACAUGGGAUUUUGACGGCAGUGGGAGCAAAAUUCUCCCAAUUUUUUUUUUUUUUUUUUUUUUUUUCAGACGGAGGUUCCGCUCUUGUUACCCAGCCUGGAGUCCAAUGGCGCGAUCUAGGCUCUCUGCAACCUCCGCCUCCCGGGUUCAAGCGAUUCCCCUGCCUCAGCCUCCCGAGCAGCUGGGACUACAGGCAUGUGCCACCACGCCCGGCUAACUUUGUAUUUUUAGUACAGAUGGGGUUUCUCCACGUUGCUCAGGCUGGUCUCCAACUCCCGACCUCCGGUGAUCUGCCCAGCUGCCGCCUCCCAAAGUGUUGCUUGCGAUUACAGGCUUGAGCCACCGCUCACCCUGGCUUUUUUUUUUUUUUUUUUCCAAACAAACUCUCGCUCUGUCGCCCAGGCUGGGAGUGCAGUGGCGCGAUCUCGGCUCACUGCAGCCUCUACCUCCCGGGUUCCAGCGAUUCUCCUGCCUCAGCCUCCUGGGUAGCUGGGAUUACAGGCGCAGGCCACCACGCCCGGCUAAUUUUUGUAUUUUUAGGGGGUUUCGCCAUGUCGGCCAGGCUGGUCUCGAGCUCCUGACCUCAGGCGAUCCGCCCGCCUCGGCCUCCCAAAGCGCUGGGAUUACAGGCGUAAGCCACCGCGCCGGGCUCUUUCAUUCUGUCUUUAUUUUCUGAGAUCGAGUCUCGCUCGGCCGCUCAGGUUGGACUGCAACGGCGUGAUCUCGGCUCGCUGAAAAGGCCUCAUUCUCAGCAAACUGACACAGGAAGCGAAAACCAAACACCGCAUGUUCUCGCUCCUAAGUGGGAGUUGAACAGCGAGAACACAUGGGACACAGGGAGGGGAACAUCACACGCCGGGCCCUGACGGGGCGUGGGGGGCAAGGGGAGAGAGAGCAUUAGGACAAAUAGCCAACGCAUGCGGGGCUUCAAACCUAGACGACUGGUGGAUAGGUGCAGCAAAGCACCGUGGCACACGUGUACCUAUGUUCCAAACCUGCACGUCCUGCACAUGUACCCCAGAACUUGGGAGGGGGUGGGGGAAACCAAAAGAGCGAGGGAGAGGCGGGGGGGGGGGAAAGAGAGGGAGAGAGGGAAAGAGAGAGAGAGACAGGAGAGAGGAGAGAGAGAGAGAGAGAGAGAGAGAGAGAGAGAGACAGAGAGAGAGACAGAGAGACAGAGACAGACACAGAGAGACGGAGAGACAGAGAGAGAGAGAGAGAGAGAGAGAGACAGGAGAAAGAAGAACUCCGGGUGGGUCCCAUUCCUUUAAAAGGUCGCCACCCACUCGACUGCCAAGCUGAGAUCCUAAGGACCUCCCCAAAGGAGGAGGUCGUGGCCUUCCCAAAGCGCAGUAGCCACGGUGGAAACGAAAGCGUGCCGCAUAAGCCUACCGUCUACCGCCCGCACAUCAGGAACCUCAAGGUACUUCAGGGAAGCAGUUAAGUCAAGCCGGCGCGUCACAGGCACUCGGCGUGCAAGCCGCCCCGCAGGUGCUACCGUCUCUUACCUCCCUCUACUUUUAGGAAACACGUUGUAUCCCCGGAGGGGGUGCACCGUUCCUGGAGGUACUGCAAUACCAGGUCGAUGCGUGGAGUGGACGGAGCAAGCUCCUAUUCCAUCUCCCUGCUCCAAAAAUCCAUUUAAUAUAUUGUCCUCGGAUAGAGGACGUAUCAGAUAUUAAACUGAUAAGAACAGAUACUACACUUGAUCUUAGCCAAAAGGCCGAGAAGCGAUGCGCUCGCCUUCGCGCCCGCCGUCACCGUCCCACUCUCAUCCACAUUCAAGUCGCGGUGAGAGCCCCAGCCUCGCUCCUUGCCCCAUUCCCUCUGUCUCGUCCACAGCGCUAUUGACGCCCUUACACUCUCGGGCUGAUUUCUUAUUCUCCGCCUUUGAAAAGGGAAAUCUUACACCCGUGCUUCUUCCGGCGUUCCCGGGCUUUCAUUUCGAAUUUGCAUGCCCCGCCCUUUCACAGAGGGCGUGGCCUCCGCCGUUGACUCCGCCCCCGGGGCCGCCUCUGCCUGGGGGAGCCGGGGCUCCGCUGGGGGCGACUUCCUUGUUCGUAUCGAGCCAGCGAAAAGACAGAACCGGAAGAGACCGGGGGCGAAGGCGACAGGGGUCUGUGGAAGAGACCUGUCGGCGGAGAGCGGUCCACGUUUUCCUGGAGAAAGACGAGGCCCCAGGGCAGGAGCGCGGGCUGCGCUGGGCCUUUACUUCGCCGCCCGCGGGCGGGGAGACCGGCCCCGUACCCGAGGGGACGAGGGGACGAGGGGCCCAUGCCCAGUCAGGGAAGCCGAAGGCCUGGAGGGGCUUCCGGGAGCAGGGGCUGGAGUUCCUCUGCCAGGCAGGAGGCUGGCACCAGACACCCGGCAGAGGGAGGCGGCGAGGGCCCAGCAAGGAUUCUCCCCAGCCCCUGUGCCUGCGUCUCCUGCGGCUUCUGUGCGCGGACCGUGUCCUGUGCUGUGUAGGGAACGCUGCCUCUCUGCUCGGGACGUGGAUUCCUUUCCCCUCCUCCUCGCCCGGCUACUUCUGACGCAGGUCGUCAGGACUCCGCUUGGGUGUCACCCGUGCAGGAAGCCUCCCUUAGUCAAGGGCCCUCGGCACCCGCCCCAUAUGUGACUAGCAGCCCUCCUGUGUAUUUCAUCGCGCCCCCGUUGUUUAUAUCAGCCAUUCCACUCACCACCCUUCUGGGCAACCCUUUAUCUCCCGCUCUGAAAUCCCAUCGCUGAGGGCUGGGACCCCUCCUCAGUGCUUAUCCCUGUUUCCCCGCGCGAGUCUGGCGCCUGGCGUGUGGAAGGCGCUCAGUAAACGUUUGUGGAGCGAAGAAACGACGCAAAGGUGAUGAGCACGACGCAGUUAGGAGGCUAUUGGCCCGGCGCGGGGGAAAAGGGGGAAGGUCGGGCUCGGGGUGGCAGGACCCCAGAGGGCAGGGGUGGCUGCCGGGGUGCUCUUGGGGCAAGGUGGGCGUCAAGGCCCCCAGCAAGGUUGGGAUAAAGUUUCUCUCCGAGGCACAGACUGCCGCCUGCGGGCUCAGCAUUUACCUCUCCCUUCCUCCUUCCUAACGCAACUUCAGCGGAGGGCUGAGGGCUCUACUGCGCAUUACCUGGAAAACUUAUUUCACUCCACGGCCCUAAGAGGUGGGCCUUAUUAUUAGCCACGGCCAGGGUUAGGGUGAGGCCACUCCUCCAGGGCAGAAUUUCAGGGGGUGCCCAACCCCCCGCCCUAAAUCAUUCAGCAAUCAACAUAAAUUAUAGUUCAACGCAAUGUAUCUUAUCUUGUGGGCCGCAAGCCACCCAGGUGCCCAGGCAAGAGCCUGAAGGCACAAGCUGUUCCAGUACAGCGAAGAAAAUAAUUAGAAUAAGAAAAGUUUUACUAGAGAUAGGAAACGGAUAGGAUUAUAUCUGACUAUUAUUAAUCAUUAGUUUGUAGCAUCACUCUUUGUUCUAUUACCAUAAUGAUCUCUGUUCUAUUAUGAUUACCUUGGGGGAAACCAGGCCACACAGAGUUAGGAGCUGAAGGGCCACAGUGAGAGGUGACCAGAAGACGAGAGUGUGAGCCCUCAUUCACGCCCAGAGAAGGGCCGCUGGAGGGCUCCUUGGCCUAGCGGUAAUGCCAGUGCCUGGGAAGGCCCUGGUUACUUAGCAGGCCUUGGUCUAGCGGUGGCCCCAGUGCCUGGGAAGGCACCCGUUACUUAGCAGACCCGGAAAGGGAAUCUCCCUCUCUCCAGGGGAGACAGAGAACGCUCCGCUCCACCACCUCUUGUGGGAGGUCUGACAUUAGCCAGGCCGGCCCGCAGUCAUCCGGAGGCUCCAACGUCUGUCUCCCUGUGAUGCUGUGCUUCAGUGGUCACGCUCCUUGUUCACUUUCAUGUUCAGCCUGUACACCUGGCUCCUCCUUUUAAGUUCUUAGAAGACAGCAGUAGCAGAACUAGUAGGAGUACCACAGUCUUUCGAUCUUUCUGAUAAGUGCAUAGAAGAAACGCUGACGUUUGCUGUCCUCCCUCUCCACCUCGGCUACCACAAAGGGAAAGGCCCCCUGUCCAGUGGACACGUGACUCGCGUGACCUAUCGAUCAUUGGAGAUGACUGGCACUCCUUACCCUGCCCCCUUGCCUUGACUACAAUAAAUAGCAGCGCCUCCAGGCACUCGGGGCCACUACCUGUCUGUCUCCGCGCUUUGGUGGCAGUGGUCCCCCGGGCCCAGCUGUCUUUCUUCCUAUCUCUUUGUCUUCUGUCUUUAUCUCUUCGAUCUCUCGUCUCCGCACACACGCGAAGAGAAAACCCACAGACCCGGUAGGGGUGGACCCUACAUUAUCUCAGCUACAACAUAAUCAGGAUAUUCACGUGGACUACUGAGUCUUUCGGUGCCCCCUUGCUGUUUUAGUUUUGUCCUGCGGCCGAGUGUUUCCCUCGCUUCACGCCAACACAAUCUCCGCCGCCCUGUCUUGUCAUCCCCAUUCUACAGCCCAGCACGGUGUAGUAUGGCAGCCGCUAGCCACAGGUAUCUAGGGAGCCCUGGAAAUGUGGUCAGUUCUAAUGGAGCUGUGCUGUAAGUGUGAAAUACACGUGGGAUUUUGACGGCAGUGGGAGCAAAAUUCUCCCAAUUUUUUUUUUUUUUUUUUUUUUUUCAGACGGAGGUUCCGCUCUUGUUACCCAGCCUGGAGUCCAAUGGCGCGAUCUAGGCUCUCUGCAACCUCCGCCUCCCGGGUUCAAGCGAUUCCCCUGCCUCAGCCUCCCGAGCAGCUGGGACUACAGGCAUGUGCCACCACGCCCGGCUAACUUUGUAUUUUUAGUACAGAUGGGGUUUCUCCACGUUGCUCAGGCUGGUCUCCAACUCCCGACCUCCGGUGAUCUGCCCAGCUGCCGCCUCCCAAAGUGUUGCUUGCGAUUACAGGCUUGAGCCACCGCUCACCCUGGCUUUUUUUUUUUUUUUUUCCAGACAAACUCUCGCUCUGUCGCCCAGGCUGGAGUGCAGUGGCGCGAUCUCGGCUCACUGCAGCCUCUACCUCCCGGGUUCCAGCGAUUCUCCUGCCUCAGCCUCCUGGGUAGCUGGGAUUACAGGCGCAGGCCACCACGCCCGGCUAAUUUUUGUAUUUUUAGGGGGUUUCGCCAUGUCGGCCAGGCUGGUCUCGAGCUCCUGACCUCAGGCGAUCCGCCCGCCUCGGCCUCCCAAAGCGCUGGGAUUACAGGCGUAAGCCACCGCGCCGGGCUCUUUCAUUCUGUCUUUAUUUUCUGAGAUAGAGUCUCGCUCGGACGCUCAGGUUGGACUGCAACGGCGUGAUCUCGGCUCGCUGAAACUUCCGCCUCCCGGGUUCAAGCGAUUCUCCUGUCUCAGCCUCCCGAGUAGCUGGGAUUAUUGACGGGCAGCACCACGCCCGGCUACUUUUUGUGGUUUUUGUAUCUUCUGUCUUCUGCUCUUUAGUACCGCAUAGAGCCGCAGAAGACUAGCGAGUCGAACAAACGGCCCCUCUUGCAGCAGUUGUUGAUCACGGGGCUGCCCCCCGGUACUCAUCCUGUGUCUCUCGUCCAAAUCCCCGCUCCUCCUCAGCUAUCACCUCUGCCGAUGCUGGUGGUUUCCCUGGGUACCGGGAACCAAACUCUCAUUCCCCAGGGGCCUAAGCCCCCCGUGGCCAGGCCCUUCUCAAGUCAGGGUUCCUGCACAUUCACAGUUACGGGUGGCCCUGGGAGUAACACCUGGCACCCAAACAGGUCACCAGAGUCCACACAUAGUCCACCUGCCCUCCCUGCGUAAGAUCAGCUCUUCCUCCUCCCGACGAUAGAUCAGGGUCAAUGAUCCCUGCCAAGAUGGCGACUGCUCCAGCCUGCUGGUCCAACCUGUCCAGCCACAGCUGUUGCUCGAAGGCUUGAAGUUCAAUGGGACCCUCUCCCGCUUUCUACAAACUGGUUCCUUUAUUUUUAUGUUUAUUUAUUUGGGACGGGGUCUGGCUCUGUCACCCAGGCUGGAGUGCAGUGGUGCAAUCACUGCUCACUGCAGCAUCCACCUCCCAGCGUCCACCCAUCCUCCUGGCCUCAGCCUCCGGAACAGCUGGGGUACAGGUAUGCCCCAGCCCGAACAGGUUUUCACUAGGUUGCCUGGGCUCUUUCUUUCUUUGUCUGUGUUUGUUUGUUGGUUGGUUGGUUGGUUGGUUGGUUUUUGUUUGUUUGUUUCGAGACGGGGCUCCGGCUCUGCCGCCGGGGGCUGCAGUGCAAUGGCGCGAUCUCACCUCACUGCGGCCUUCUGGGCUCAAGCGAUCCUCCCACUGUGCCCGGCCUGAAGACAGCCUUUAGAGAAAGAAGCAGGGGGAGUUCUUCCGAGGACAGACAAGAUUUCUGGAGUUUGGAAAGGGUGAGAGACUGGGUCAGCGAAAGGAACAUUCCGGUCUUUAUGUUGGGAUGCAACGUAUAGAUACAGGGAUGAGACCCAAAAGAGCCGGCAGAGGUUUGUCAUCGUGCUCGCAAGGCAACUGCCGGUGGCUGAUCCCGUAAAGGAUACACAUACCUAGAGCGGAGCCUAAAGAUGCAUCCAGCAUGACGGGUGGAGCCACGAUGCUUGGACUCGAGCUCUGCUCCUGUGCGUUCCGUGAUCAAUGGCUUAUACUACCUGCACCUCAGUUUUUCCCGGGCAAAAAAGGAAGCUUGCUGCCGGUGCGUUGGCACCUGCCUUAAAGUGCCAGCUACUCAGCGGGCUGAAGAGGAAGAAGUUCCUACUAGGAAGACACGUGGACACGUAUGUUUACUGCAGCACUAUUUACAAUAGCAAAGACUUGGAACCAACUCGAAUGCCCAUGAAUGAUAGGCUGGAUAAAGAAAGUGUGGCACGUAUACAGCAUGGAAUUACUACGCAGCCAUAAAAAAGGAUGAGUUCAUGACCUCUGCGGGAACGUGGAUGAAGCUGGAAGGCCUCAUUCUCAGCAAACUGACACAGGAAGCGAAAACCAAACACCGCAUGUUCUCGCUCCUAAGUGGGAGUUGAACAGCGAGAACACAUGGGACACAGGGAGGGGAACAUCACACGCCGGGCCCUGACGGGGCGUGGGGGGCAAGGGGAGAGAGAGCAUUAGGACAAAUAGCCAACGCAUGCGGGGCUUCAAACCUAGACGACUGGUGGAUAGGUGCAGCAAAGCACCGUGGCACACGUGUACCUAUGUUCCAAACCUGCACGUCCUGCACAUGUACCCCAGAACUUGGGAGGGGGUGGGGGAAACCAAAAGAGCGAGGGAGAGGCGGGGGGGGGGAAGAGAGAGAGAGAGGGAAAGAGAGAGAGAGACAGAGAGAGGAGAGAGAGAGAGAGAGAGAGAGAGAGAGACAGAGAGAGAGACAGAGAGACAGAGACAGACACAGAGAGACGGAGAGACAGAGAGAGAGAGAGAGAAAGAGAGAGAGAGAGAGAGAGAGACAGGAGAAAGAAGAACUCCGGGUGGGUCCCAUUCCUUUAAAAGGUCGCCACCCACUCGACUGCCAAGCUGAGAUCCUAAGGACCUCCCCAAAGGAGGAGGUCGUGGCCUUCCCAAAGCGCAGUAGCCACGGUGGAAACGAAAGCGUGCCGCAUAAGCCUACCGUCUACCGCCCGCACAUCAGGAACCUCAAGGUACUUCAGGGAAGCAGUUAAGUCAAGCCGGCGCGUCACAGGCACUCGGCGUGCAAGCCGCCCCGCAGGUGCUACCGUCUCUUACCUCCCUCUACUUUUAGGAAACACGUUGUAUCCCCGGAGGGGGUGCACCGUUCCUGGAGGUACUGCAAUACCAGGUCGAUGCGUGGAGUGGACGGAGCAAGCUCCUAUUCCAUCUCCCUGCUCCAAAAAUCCAUUUAAUAUAUUGUCCUCGGAUAGAGGACGUAUCAGAUAUUAAACUGAUAAGAACAGAUACUACACUUGAUCUUAGCCAAAAGGCCGAGAAGCGAUGCGCUCGCCUUCGCGCCCGCCGUCACCGUCCCACUCUCAUCCACAUUCAAGUCGCGGUGAGAGCCCCAGCCUCGCUCCUUGCCCCAUUCCCUCUGUCUCGUCCACAGCGCUAUUGACGCCCUUACACUCUCGGGCUGAUUUCUUAUUCUCCGCCUUUGAAAAGGGAAAUCUUACACCCGUGCUUCUUCCGGCGUUCCCGGGCUUUCAUUUCGAAUUUGCAUGCCCCGCCCUUUCACAGAGGGCGUGGCCUCCGCCGUUGACUCCGCCCCCGGGGCCGCCUCUGCCUGGGGGAGCCGGGGCUCCGCUGGGGGCGACUUCCUUGUUCGUAUCGAGCCAGCGAAAAGACAGAACCGGAAGAGACCGGGGGCGAAGGCGACAGGGGUCUGUGGAAGAGACCUGUCGGCGGAGAGCGGUCCACGUUUUCCUGGAGAAAGACGAGGCCCCAGGGCAGGAGCGCGGGCUGCGCUGGGCCUUUACUUCGCCGCCCGCGGGCGGGGAGACCGGCCCCGUACCCGAGGGGACGAGGGGACGAGGGGCCCAUGCCCAGUCAGGGAAGCCGAAGGCCUGGAGGGGCUUCCGGGAGCAGGGGCUGGAGUUCCUCUGCCAGGCAGGAGGCUGGCACCAGACACCCGGCAGAGGGAGGCGGCGAGGGCCCAGCAAGGAUUCUCCCCAGCCCCUGUGCCUGCGUCUCCUGCGGCUUCUGUGCGCGGACCGUGUCCUGUGCUGUGUAGGGAACGCUGCCUCUCUGCUCGGGACGUGGAUUCCUUUCCCCUCCUCCUCGCCCGGCUACUUCUGACGCAGGUCGUCAGGACUCCGCUUGGGUGUCACCCGUGCAGGAAGCCUCCCUUAGUCAAGGGCCCUCGGCACCUGCCCCAUAUGUGACUAGCAGCCCUCCUGUGUAUUUCAUCGCGCCCCCGUUGUUUAUAUCAGCCAUUCCACUCACCACCCUUCUGGGCAACCCUUUAUCUCCCGCUCUGAAAUCCCAUCGCUGAGGGCUGGGACCCCUCCUCAGUGCUUAUCCCUGUUUCCCCGCGCGAGUCUGGCGCCUGGCGUGUGGAAGGCGCUCAGUAAACGUUUGUGGAGCGAAGAAACGACGCAAAGGUGAUGAGCACGACGCAGUUAGGAGGCUAUUGGCCCGGCGCGGGGGAAAAGGGGGAAGGUCGGGCUCGGGGUGGCAGGACCCCAGAGGGCAGGGGUGGCUGCCGGGGUGCUCUUGGGGCAAGGUGGGCGUCAAGGCCCCCAGCAAGGUUGGGAUAAAGUUUCUCUCCGAGGCACAGACUGCCGCCUGCGGGCUCAGCAUUUACCUCUCCCUUCCUCCUUCCUAACGCAACUUCAGCGGAGGGCUGAGGGCUCUACUGCGCAUUACCUGGAAAACUUAUUUCACUCCACGGCCCUAAGAGGUGGGCCUUAUUAUUAGCCACGGCCAGGGUUAGGGUGAGGCCACUCCUCCAGGGCAGAAUUUCAGGGGGUGCCCACCCCCCCGCCCUAAAUCAUUCAGCAAUCAACAUAAAUUAUAGUUCAACGCAAUGUAUCUUAUCUUGUGGGCCGCAAGCCACCCAGGUGCCCAGGCAAGAGCCUGAAGGCACAAGCUGUUCCAGUACAGCGAAGAAAAUAAUUAGAAUAAGAAAAGUUUUACUAGAGAUAGGAAACGGAUAGGAUUAUAUCUGACUAUUAUUAAUCAUUAGUUUGUAGCAUCACUCUUUGUUCUAUUACCAUAAUGAUCUCUGUUCUAUUAUGAUUACCUUGGGGGAAACCAGGCCACACAGAGUUAGGAGCUGAAGGGCCACAGUGAGAGGUGACCAGAAGACGAGAGUGUGAGCCCUCAUUCACGCCCAGAGAAGGGCCGCUGGAGGGCUCCUUGGCCUAGCGGUAAUGCCAGUGCCUGGGAAGGCCCUGGUUACUUAGCAGGCCUUGGUCUAGCGGUGGCCCCAGUGCCUGGGAAGGCACCCGUUACUUAGCAGACCCGGAAAGGGAAUCUCCCUCUCUCCAGGGGAGACAGAGAACGCUCCGCUCCACCACCUCUUGUGGGAGGUCUGACAUUAGCCAGGCCGGCCCGCAGUCAUCCGGAGGCUCCAACGUCUGUCUCCCUGUGAUGCUGUGCUUCAGUGGUCACGCUCCUUGUUCACUUUCAUGUUCAGCCUGUACACCUGGCUCCUCCUUUUAAGUUCUUAGAAGACAGCAGUAGCAGAACUAGUAGGAGUACCACAGUCUUCGAUCUUUCUGAUAAGUGCAUAGAAGAAACGCUGACGUUUGCUGUCCUCCCUCUCCACCUCGGCUACCACAAAGGGAAAGGCCCCCUGUCCAGUGGACACGUGACUCGCGUGACCUAUCGAUCAUUGGAGAUGACUGGCACUCCUUACCCUGCCCCCUUGCCUUGACUACAAUAAAUAGCAGCGCCUCCAGGCACUCGGGGCCACUACCUGUCUGUCUCCGCGCUUUGGUGGCAGUGGUCCCCCGGGCCCAGCUGUCUUUCUUCCUAUCUCUUUGUCUUCUGUCUUUAUCUCUUCGAUCUCUCGUCUCCGCACACACGCGAAGAGAAAACCCACAGACCCGGUAGGGGUGGACCCUACAUUAUCUCAGCUACAACAUAAUCAGGAUAUUCACGUGGACUACUGAGUCUUUCGGUGCCCCCUUGCUGUUUUAGUUUUGUCCUGCGGCCGAGUGUUUCCCUCGCUUCACGCCAACACAAUCUCCGCCGCCCUGUCUUGUCAUCCCCAUUCUACAGCCCAGCACGGUGUAGUAUGGCAGCCGCUAGCCACAGGUAUCUAGGGAGCCCUGGAAAUGUGGUCAGUUCUAAUGGAGCUGCGCUGUUAAGUGUGAAAUACACAUGGGAUUUUGACGGCAGUGGGAGCAAAAUUCUCCCAAUUUUUUUUUUUUUUUUUUUUUUUUUUCAGACGGAGGUUCCGCUCUUGUUACCCAGCCUGGAGUCCAAUGGCGCGAUCUAGGCUCUCUGCAACCUCCGCCUCCCGGGUUCAAGCGAUUCCCCUGCCUCAGCCUCCCGAGCAGCUGGGACUACAGGCAUGUGCCACCACGCCCGGCUAACUUUGUAUUUUUAGUACAGAUGGGGUUUCUCCACGUUGCUCAGGCUGGUCUCCAACUCCCGACCUCCGGUGAUCUGCCCAGCUGCCGCCUCCCAAAGUGUUGCUUGCGAUUACAGGCUUGAGCCACCGCUCACCCUGGCUUUUUUUUUUUUUUUUCCAGACAAACUCUCGCUCUGUCGCCCAGGCUGGAGUGCAGUGGCGCGAUCUCGGCUCACUGCAGCCUCUACCUCCCGGGUUCCAGCGAUUCUCCUGCCUCAGCCUCCUGGGUAGCUGGGAUUACAGGCGCAGGCCACCACGCCCGGCUAAUUUUUGUAUUUUUAGGGGGUUUCGCCAUGUCGGCCAGGCUGGUCUCGAGCUCCUGACCUCAGGCGAUCCGCCCGCCUCGGCCUCCCAAAGCGCUGGGAUUACAGGCGUAAGCCACCGCGCCGGGCUCUUUCAUUCUGUCUUUAUUUUCUGAGAUAGAGUCUCGCUCGGACGCUCAGGUUGGACUGCAACGGCGUGAUCUCGGCUCGCUGAAACUUCCGCCCUCCCGGGUUCAAGCGAUUCUCCUGUCUCAGCCUCCCGAGUAGCUGGGAUUAUUGACGGGCAGCACCACGCCCCGGCUACUUUUUGUGGUUUUUGUAUCUUCUGUCUUCUGCUCUUUAGUACCGCAUAGAGCCGCAGAAGACUAGCGAGUCGAACAAACGGCCCCUCUUGCAGCAGUUGUUGAUCACGGGGCUGCCCCCCGGUACUCAUCCUGUGUCUCUCGUCCAAAUCCCCGCUCCUCCUCAGCUAUCACCUCUGCCGAUGCUGGUGGUUUCCCUGGGUACCGGGAACCAAACUCUCAUUCCCCAGGGGCCUAAGCCCCCCGUGGCCAGGCCCUUCUCAAGUCAGGGUUCCUGCACAUUCACAGUUACGGGUGGCCCUGGGAGUAACACCUGGCACCCAAACAGGUCACCAGAGUCCACACAUAGUCCACCUGCCCUCCCUGCGUAAGAUCAGCUCUUCCUCCUCCCGACGAUAGAUCAGGGUCAAUGAUCCCUGCCAAGAUGGCGACUGCUCCAGCCUGCUGGUCCAACCUGUCCAGCCACAGCUGUUGCUCGAAGGCUUGAAGUUCAAUGGGACCCUCUCCCGCUUUCUACAAACUGGUUCCUUUAUUUUUAUGUUUAUUUAUUUGGGACGGGGUCUGGCUCUGUCACCCAGGCUGGAGUGCAGUGGUGCAAUCACUGCUCACUGCAGCAUCCACCUCCCAGCGUCCACCCAUCCUCCUGGCCUCAGCCUCCGGAACAGCUGGGGUACAGGUACGCCCCAGCCCGAACAGGUUUUCACUAGGUUGCCUGGGCUCUUUCUUUCUUUGUCUGUGUUUGUUUGUUGGUUGGUUGGUUGGUUGGUUGGUUUUUGUUUGUUUGUUUCGAGACGGGGCUCCGGCUCUGCCGCCGGGGGCUGCAGUGCAAUGGCGCGAUCUCACCUCACUGCGGCCUUCUGGGCUCAAGCGAUCCUCCCACUGUGCCCGGCCUGAAGACAGCCUUUAGAGAAAGAAGCAGGGGGAGUUCUUCCGAGGACAGACAAGAUUUCUGGAGUUUGGAAAGGGUGAGAGACUGGGUCAGCGAAAGGAACAUUCCGGUCUUUAUGUUGGGAUGCAACGUAUAGAUACAGGGAUGAGACCCAAAAGAGCCGGCAGAGGUUUGUCAUCGUGCUCGCAAGGCAACUGCCGGUGGCUGAUCCCGUAAAGGAUACACAUACCUAGAGCGGAGCCUAAAGAUGCAUCCAGCAUGACGGGUGGAGCCACGAUGCUUGGACUCGAGCUCUGCUCCUGUGCGUUCCGUGAUCAAUGGCUUAUACUACCUGCACCUCAGUUUUUCCCGGGCAAAAAAGGAAGCUUGCUGCCGGUGCGUUGGCACCUGCCUUAAAGUGCCAGCUACUCAGCGGGCUGAAGAGGAAGAAGUUCCUACUAGGAAGACACGUGGACACGUAUGUUUACUGCAGCACUAUUUACAAUAGCAAAGACUUGGAACCAACUCGAAUGCCCAUGAAUGAUAGGCUGGAUAAAGAAAGUGUGGCACGUAUACAGCAUGGAAUUACUACGCAGCCAUAAAAAAGGAUGAGUUCAUGACCUCUGCGGGAACGUGGAUGAAGCUGGAAGGCCUCAUUCUCAGCAAACUGACACAGGAAGCGAAAACCAAACACCGCAUGUUCUCGCUCCUAAGUGGGAGUUGAACAGCGAGAACACAUGGGACACAGGGAGGGGAACAUCACACGCCGGGCCCUGACGGGGCGUGGGGGGCAAGGGGAGAGAGAGCAUUAGGACAAAUAGCCAACGCAUGCGGGGCUUCAAACCUAGACGACUGGUGGAUAGGUGCAGCAAAGCACCGUGGCACACGUGUACCUAUGUUCCAAACCUGCACGUCCUGCACAUGUACCCCAGAACUUGGGAGGGGGUGGGGGAAACCAAAAGAGCGAGGGAGAGGCGGGGGGGGGGAAGAGAGAGAGAGAGGGAAAGAGAGAGAGAGACAGAGAGAGGAGAGAGAGAGAGAGAGACAGAGAGAGAGACAGAGAGACAGAGACAGACACAGAGAGACGGAGAGACAGAGAGAGAGAGAGAGAGAAAGAGAGAGAGAGAGAGAGAGACAGGAGAAAGAAGAACUCCGGGUGGGUCCCAUUCCUUUAAAAGGUCGCCACCCACUCGACUGCCAAGCUGAGAUCCUAAGGACCUCCCCAAAGGAGGAGGUCGUGGCCUUCCCAAAGCGCAGUAGCCACGGUGGAAACGAAAGCGUGCCGCAUAAGCCUACCGUCUACCGCCCGCACAUCAGGAACCUCAAGGUACUUCAGGGAAGCAGUUAAGUCAAGCCGGCGCGUCACAGGCACUCGGCGUGCAAGCCGCCCCGCAGGUGCUACCGUCUCUUACCUCCCUCUACUUUUAGGAAACACGUUGUAUCCCCGGAGGGGGUGCACCGUUCCUGGAAGUACUGCAAUACCAGGUCGAUGCGUGGAGUGGACGGAGCAAGCUCCUAUUCCAUCUCCCUGCUCCAAAAAUCCAUUUAAUAUAUUGUCCUCGGAUAGAGGACGUAUCAGAUAUUAAACUGAUAAGAACAGAUACUACACUUGAUCUUAGCCAAAAGGCCGAGAAGCGAUGCGCUCGCCUUCGCGCCCGCCGUCACCGUCCCACUCUCAUCCACAUUCAAGUCGCGGUGAGAGCCCCAGCCUCGCUCCUUGCCCCAUUCCCUCUGUCUCGUCCACAGCGCUAUUGACGCCCUUACACUCUCGGGCUGAUUUCUUAUUCUCCGCCUUUGAAAAGGGAAAUCUUACACCCGUGCUUCUUCCGGCGUUCCCGGGCUUUCAUUUCGAAUUUGCAUGCCCCGCCCUUUCACAGAGGGCGUGGCCUCCGCCGUUGACUCCGCCCCCGGGGCCGCCUCUGCCUGGGGGAGCCGGGGCUCCGCUGGGGGCGACUUCCUUGUUCGUAUCGAGCCAGCGAAAAGACAGAACCGGAAGAGACCGGGGGCGAAGGCGACAGGGGUCUGUGGAAGAGACCUGUCGGCGGAGAGCGGUCCACGUUUUCCUGGAGAAAGACGAGGCCCAGGGCAGGAGCGCGGGCUGCGCUGGGCCUUUACUUCGCCGCCCGCGGGCGGGGAGACCGGCCCCGUACCCGAGGGGACGAGGGGACGAGGGGCCCAUGCCCAGUCAGGGAAGCCUAAGGUCUGGAGGGGCUUCCGGGAGCAGGGGCUGGAGUUCCUCUGCCAGGCAGGAUGCUGGCACCAGACACCCGGCAGAGGGAGGCGGCGAGGGCUCAUAAGGAAUUCUCCCCAGCCCCUGUGCUUGCGUCUCCUGCGGUUUCUGUGCUCGGACCGUGUCCUGUGCUGUGUAGGGAACGCUGCCUCUCUGCUCGGGACGUGGAUUCCUUUCCCCUCCUCCUCGCCCGGCUACUUCUGACGCAGGUCGUCAGGACUCCGCUUUGUGUCACCCGUGCAGGGAAGCCUCCCUUAGUCAAGGGCCCUCGCACCCGCCCCAUAUGUGACUAGCAGCCCUCCUGUGUAUUUCAUCGCGCCCCCGUUGUUUAUAUCAGCCAUUCCACUCACCACCUUCUGGGCAACCCUUUAUCUCCCGCUCUGAAAUCCCAUCGCUGAGGGCUGGACCCCUCCUCAGUGCUUAUCCCUGUUUCCCCGCGCGAGUCUGGCGCCUGGCGUGUGGAAGGCGCUCAGUAAACGUUUGUGGAGCGAAGAAACGACGCAAAGGUGAUGAGCACGACGCCAGUUAGGAGGCUAUUGGCCGGCGCGGGGAAAAGGGGAAGGUCGGGCUCGGGGUGGCAGGACCCCAGAGGCAGGGGUGGCUGCCGGGUGCUCUUGGGGCAAGGUGGGCGUCAAGGCCCCCAGCAAGGUUGGGAUAAAGUUUCUCUCCGAGGCACAGACUGCCGCUGCGGGCUCAGCAUUUACCUCUCCCUUCCUCCUUCCUAACGCAACUUCAGCGGAGGGCUGAGGGCUCUACUGCGCAUUACCUGGAAAACUUAUUUCACUCCACGGCCCUAAGAGGUGGGCCUUAUUAUUAGCCAUGGCCAGGGUUAGGGUGAGGCCACUCCUCCAGGGCAGAAUUUCAGGGGGUGCCCACCCCCCCGCCCUAAAUCAUUCAGCAAUCAACAUAAAUUAUAGUUCAACGCAAUGUAUCUUAUCUUGUGGGCCGCAAGCCACCCAGGUGCCCAGGCAAGAGCCUGAAGGCACAAGCUGUUCCAGUACAGCGAAGAAAAUAAUUAGAAUAAGAAAAGUUUUACUAGAGAUAGGAAACGGAUAGGAUUAUAUCUGACUAUUAUUAAUCAUUAGUUUGUAGCAUCACUCUUUGUUCUAUUACCAUAAUGAUCUCUGUUCUAUUAUGAUUACCUUGGGGGAAACCAGGCCACACAGAGUUAGGAGCUGAAGGGCCACAGUGAGAGGUGACCAGAAGACGAGAGUGUGAGCCCUCAUUCACGCCCAGAGAAGGGCCGCUGGAGGGCUCCUUGGCCUAGCGGUAAUGCCAGUGCCUGGGAAGGCCCUGGUUACUUAGCAGGCCUUGGUCUAGCGGUGGCCCCAGUGCCUGGGAAGGCACCCGUUACUUAGCAGACCCGGAAAGGGAAUCUCCCUCUCUCCAGGGGAGACAGAGAACGCUCCGCUCCACCACCUCUUGUGGGAGGUCUGACAUUAGCCAGGCCGGCCCGCAGUCAUCCGGAGGCUCCAACGUCUGUCUCCCUGUGAUGCUGUGCUUCAGUGGUCACGCUCCUUGUUCACUUUCAUGUUCAGCCUGUACACCUGGCUCCUCCUUUUAAGUUCUUAGAAGACAGCAGUAGCAGAACUAGUAGGAGUACCACAGUCUUCGAUCUUUCUGAUAAGUGCAUAGAAGAAACGCUGACGUUUGCUGUCCUCCCUCUCCACCUCGGCUACCACAAAGGGAAAGGCCCCCUGUCCAGUGGACACGUGACUCGCGUGACCUAUCGAUCAUUGGAGAUGACUGGCACUCCUUACCCUGCCCCCUUGCCUUGACUACAAUAAAUAGCAGCGCCUCCAGGCACUCGGGGCCACUACCUGUCUGUCUCCGCGCUUUGGUGGCAGUGGUCCCCCGGGCCCAGCUGCCUUUCUUCCUAUCUCUUUGUCUUCUGUCUUUAUCUCUUCGAUCUCUCGUCUCCGCACACACGCGAAGAGAAAACCCACAGACCCGGUAGGGGUGGACCCUACAUUAUCUCAGCUACAACAUAAUCAGGAUAUUCACGUGGACUACUGAGUCUUUCGGUGCCCCCUUGCUGUUUUAGUUUUGUCCUGCGGCCGAGUGUUUCCCUCGCUUCACGCCAACACAAUCUCCGCCGCCCUGUCUUGUCAUCCCCAUUCUACAGCCCAGCACGGUGUAGUAUGGCAGCCGCUAGCCACAGGUAUCUAGGGAGCCCUGGAAAUGUGGUCAGUUCUAAUGGAGCUGUGCUGUAAGUGUGAAAUACACGUGGGAUUUUGACGGCAGUGGGAGCAAAAUUCUCCCAAUUUUUUUUUUUUUUUUUUUUUUUCAGACGGAGGUUCCGCUCUUGUUACCCAGCCUGGAGUCCAAUGGCGCGAUCUAGGCUCUCUGCAACCUCCGCCUCCCGGGUUCAAGCGAUUCCCCUGCCUCAGCCUCCCGAGCAGCUGGGACUACAGGCAUGUGCCACCACGCCCGGCUAACUUUGUAUUUUUAGUACAGAUGGGGUUUCUCCACGUUGCUCAGGCUGGUCUCCAACUCCCGACCUCCGGUGAUCUGCCCAGCUGCCGCCUCCCAAAGUGUUGCUUGCGAUUACAGGCUUGAGCCACCGCUCACCCUGGCUUUUUUUUUUUUUUUUUCCAGACAAACUCUCGCUCUGUCGCCCAGGCUGGAGUGCAGUGGCGCGAUCUCGGCUCACUGCAGCCUCUACCUCCCGGGUUCCAGCGAUUCUCCUGCCUCAGCCUCCUGGGUAGCUGGGAUUACAGGCGCAGGCCACCACGCCCGGCUAAUUUUUGUAUUUUUAGGGGGUUUCGCCAUGUCGGCCAGGCUGGUCUCGAGCUCCUGACCUCAGGCGAUCCGCCCGCCUCGGCCUCCCAAAGCGCUGGGAUUACAGGCGUAAGCCACCGCGCCGGGCUCUUUCAUUCUGUCUUUAUUUUCUGAGAUAGAGUCUCGCUCGGACGCUCAGGUUGGACUGCAACGGCGUGAUCUCGGCUCGCUGAAACUUCCGCCUCCCGGGUUCAAGCGAUUCUCCUGUCUCAGCCUCCCGAGUAGCUGGGAUUAUUGACGGGCAGCACCACGCCCGGGCUACUUUUUGUGGUUUUUGUAUCUUCUGUCUUCUGCUCUUUAGUACCGCAUAGAGCCGCAGAAGACUAGCGAGUCGAACAAACGGCCCCUCUUGCAGCAGUUGUUGAUCACGGGGCUGCCCCCCGGGUACUCAUCCUGUGUCUCUCGUCCAAAUCCCCGCUCCUCCUCAGCUAUCACCUCUGCCGAUGCUGGUGGUUUCCCUGGGUACCGGAACCAAACUCUCAUUCCCCGAGCCUAAGCCCCCCGUGCCAGGCCCUUCUCAAGUCAGGGUUCCUGCACAUUCACAGUUACGGGUGGCCCUGGGAGUAACACCUGGCACCCAAACAGGUCACCAGAGUCCACACAUAGUCCACCUGCCCUCCCUGCGUAAGAUCAGCUCUUCCUCCUCCCGACGAUAGAUCAGGGUCAAUGAUCCCUGCCAAGAUGGCGACUGCUCCAGCCUGCUGGUCCAACCUGUCCAGCCACAGCUGUUGCUCGAAGGCUUGAAGUUCAAUGGGACCCUCUCCCGCUUUCUACAAACUGGUUCCUUUAUUUUUAUGUUUAUUUAUUUGGGACGGGGUCUGGCUCUGUCACCCAGGCUGGAGUGCAGUGGUGCAAUCACUGCUCACUGCAGCAUCCACCUCCCAGCGUCCACCCAUCCUCCUGCCUCAGCCUCCGGAACAGCUGGGGUACAGGUACGCCCCAGCCCGAACAGGUUUUCACUAGGUUGCCUGGGCUCUUUCUUUCUUUGUCUGUGUUUGUUUGUUGGUUGGUUGGUUGGUUGGUUGGUUUUUGUUUGUUUGUUUCGAGACGGGGCUCCGGCUCUGCCGCCGGGGGCUGCAGUGCAAUGGCGCGAUCUCACCUCACUGCGGCCUUCUGGGCUCAAGCGAUCCUCCCACUGUGCCCGGCCUGAAGACAGCCUUUAGAGAAAGAAGCAGGGGGAGUUCUUCCGAGGACAGACAAGAUUUCUGGAGUUUGGAAAGGGUGAGAGACUGGGUCAGCGAAAGGAACAUUCCGGUCUUUAUGUUGGGAUGCAACGUAUAGGUACAGGGAUGAGACCCAAAAGAGCCGGCAGAGGUUUGUCAUCGUGCUCGCAAGGCAACUGCCGGUGGCUGAUCCCGUAAAGGAUACACAUACCUAGAGCGGAGCCUAAAGAUGCAUCCAGCAUGACGGGUGGAGCCACGAUGCUUGGACUCGAGCUCUGCUCCUGUGCGUUCCGUGAUCAAUGGCUUAUACUACCUGCACCUCAGUUUUUCCCGGGCAAAAAAGGAAGCUUGCUGCCGGUGCGUUGGCACCUGCCUUAAAGUGCCAGCUACUCAGCGGGCUGAAGAGGAAGAAGUUCCUACUAGGAAGACACGUGGACACGUAUGUUUACUGCAGCACUAUUUACAAUAGCAAAGACUUGGAACCAACUCGAAUGCCCAUGAAUGAUAGGCUGGAUAAAGAAAGUGUGGCACGUAUACAGCAUGGAAUUACUACGCAGCCAUAAAAAAGGAUGAGUUCAUGACCUCUGCGGGAACGUGGAUGAAGCUGGAAGGCCUCAUUCUCAGCAAACUGACACAGGAAGCGAAAACCAAACACCGCAUGUUCUCGCUCCUAAGUGGGAGUUGAACAGCGAGAACACAUGGGACACAGGGAGGGGAACAUCACACGCCGGGCCCUGACGGGGCGUGGGGGGCAAGGGGAGAGAGAGCAUUAGGACAAAUAGCCAACGCAUGCGGGGCUUCAAACCUAGACGACUGGUGGAUAGGUGCAGCAAAGCACCGUGGCACACGUGUACCUAUGUUCCAAACCUGCACGUCCUGCACAUGUACCCCAGAACUUGGGAGGGGGUGGGGGAAACCAAAAGAGCGAGGGAGAGGCGGGGGGGGGAAAGAGAGAGAGAGAGGGAAAGAGAGAGAGAGACAGAGAGAGGAGAGAGAGAGAGAGAGACAGAGAGAGAGACAGAGAGACAGAGACAGACACAAGAGACGGAGAGACAGAGAGAGAGAGAGAGAGAAAGAGAGAGAGAGAGAGAGAGACAGGAGAAAGAAGAACUCCGGGUGGGUCCCAUUCCUUUAAAAGGUCGCCACCCACUCGACUGCCAAGCUGAGAUCCUAAGGACCUCCCCAAAGGAGGAGGUCGUGGCCUUCCCAAAGCGCAGUAGCCACGGUGGAAACGAAAGCGUGCCGCAUAAGCCUACCGUCUACCGCCCGCACAUCAGGAACCUCAAGGUACUUCAGGGAAGCAGUUAAGUCAAGCCGGCGCGUCACAGGCACUCGGCGUGCAAGCCGCCCCGCAGGUGCUACCGUCUCUUACCUCCCUCUACUUUUAGGAAACACGUUGUAUCCCCGGAGGGGGUGCACCGUUCCUGGAGGUACUGCAAUACCAGGUCGAUGCGUGGAGUGGACGGAGCAAGCUCCUAUUCCAUCUCCCUGCUCCAAAAAUCCAUUUAAUAUAUUGUCCUCGGAUAGAGGACGUAUCAGAUAUUAAACUGAUAAGAACAGAUACUACACUUGAUCUUAGCCAAAAGGCCGAGAAGCGAUGCGCUCGCCUUCGCGCCCGCCGUCACCGUCCCACUCUCAUCCACAUUCAAGUCGCGGUGAGAGCCCCAGCCUCGCUCCUUGCCCCAUUCCCUCUGUCUCGUCCACAGCGCUAUUGACGCCCUUACACUCUCGGGCUGAUUUCUUAUUCUCCGCCUUUGAAAAGGGAAAUCUUACACCCGUGCUUCUUCCGGCGUUCCCGGGCUUUCAUUUCGAAUUUGCAUGCCCCGCCCUUUCACAGAGGGCGUGGCUCCGCGUUGACUCCGCCCCCGGGCGCGCCUCUGCCUGGGGGAGCCGGGGCUCGCUGGGGGCGACUUCCUUGUUCGUAUCGAGCCAGCGAAAAGACAGAACCGGAAGAGACCGGGGGCGAAGGCGACAGGGGUCUGUGGAAGAGACCUGUCGGCGGAGAGCGGUCCACGUUUUCCUGGAGAAAGACGAGGCCCCAGGCGAGGAGCGCGGGCUGCUGGGGCCUUUACUUCGCCGCCCGCGGCAGACCCGGCCCCGUACCCGAGGGACGAGGGACGAGGGGCCCAUGCCCAGUCAGGGAAGCCGCACGUGGAGGGGCUUCCGGGAGCAGGGGCUGGAGUUCCUCUGCCAGGCAGGAGGCUGGCACCAGACACCCGGCAGAGGGAGGCGGCGAGGGCCAGCAAGGAUUCUCCCCAGCCCCUGUGCCUGCGUCUCCUGCGGCUUCUGUGCGCGGACCGUGUCCUGUGCUGUGUAGGGAACGCUGCCUCUCUGCUCGGGACGUGGAUUCCUUUCCCCUCCUCCUCGCCCGGCUACUUCUGACGCAGGUCGUCAGGACUCCGCUUGGGUGUCACCCGUGCAGGAAGCCUCCCUUAGUCAAGGGCCCUCGGCACCCGCCCCAUAUGUGACUAGCAGCCCUCCUGUGUAUUUCAUCGCGCCCCCGUUGUUUAUAUCAGCCAUUCCACUCACCACCCUUCUGGGCAACCCUUUAUCUCCCGCUCUGAAAUCCCAUCGCUGAGGGCUGGGACCCCUCCUCAGUGCUUAUCCCUGUUUCCCCGCGCGAGUCUGGCGCCUGGCGUGUGGAAGGCGCUCAGUAAACGUUUGUGGAGCGAAGAAACGACGCAAAGGUGAUGAGCACGACGCAGUUAGGAGGCUAUUGGCCCGGCGCGGGGGAAAAGGGGGAAGGUCGGGCUCGGGGUGGCAGGACCCCAGAGGGCAGGGGUGGCUGCCGGGGUGCUCUUGGGGCAAGGUGGGCGUCAAGGCCCCCAGCAAGGUUGGGAUAAAGUUCCUUUCCGAGGCACAGACUGCCGCCUGCGGGCUCAGCAUUUACCUUUCCCUUUCUCCUUCCUUACCUCCCUCUCCACCUCGGCUACCACAAAGGGAAAGGCCCCCUGUCCAGUGCACACGUGACUCGCGUGACCUAUCGAUCAUUGGAGAUGACUGGCACUCCUUACCCUGCCCCCUUGCCUUGACUACAAUAAAUAGCAGCGCCUCCAGGCACUCGGGGCCACUACCUGUCUGUCUCCGCGCUUUGGUGGCAGUGGUCCCCCGGGCCCAGCUGUCUUUCUUCCUAUCUCUUUGUCUUCUGUCUUUAUCUCUUCGAUCUCUCGUCUCCGCACACACGCGAAGAGAAAACCCACAGACCCGGUAGGGGUGGACCCUACAUUAUCUCAGCUACAACAUAAUCAGGAUAUUCACGUGGACUACUGAGUCUUUCGGUGCCCCCUUGCUGUUUUAGUUUUGUCCUGCGGCCGAGUGUUUCCCUCGCUUCACGCCAACACAAUCUCCGCCGCCCUGUCUUGUCAUCCCCAUUCUACAGCCCAGCACGGUGUAGUAUGGCAGCCGCUAGCCACAGGUAUCUAGGGAGCCCUGGAAAUGUGGUCAGUUCUAAUGGAGCUGUGCUGUAAGUGUGAAAUACACGUGGGAUUUUGACGGCAGUGGGAGCAAAAUUCUCCCAAUUUUUUUUUUUUUUUUUUUUUUUCAGACGGAGGUUCCGCUCUUGUUACCCAGCCUGGAGUCCAAUGGCGCGAUCUAGGCUCUCUGCAACCUCCGCCUCCCGGGUUCAAGCGAUUCCCCUGCCUCAGCCUCCCGAGCAGCUGGGACUACAGGCAUGUGCCACCACGCCCGGCUAACUUUGUAUUUUUAGUACAGAUGGGGUUUCUCCACGUUGCUCAGGCUGGUCUCCAACUCCCGACCUCCGGUGAUCUGCCCAGCUGCCGCCUCCCAAAGUGUUGCUUGCGAUUACAGGCUUGAGCCACCGCUCACCCUGGCUUUUUUUUUUUUUUUUCCAGACAAACUCUCGCUCUGUCGCCCAGGCUGGAGUGCAGUGGCGCGAUCUCGGCUCACUGCAGCCUCUACCUCCCGGGUUCCAGCGAUUCUCCUGCCUCAGCCUCCUGGGUAGCUGGGAUUACAGGCGCAGGCCACCACGCCCGGCUAAUUUUUGUAUUUUUAGGGGGUUUCGCCAUGUCGGCCAGGCUGGUCUCGAGCUCCUGACCUCAGGCGAUCCGCCCGCCUCGGCCUCCCAAAGCGCUGGGAUUACAGGCGUAAGCCACGCGCCGGGCUCUUUCAUUCUGUCUUUAUUUUCUGAGAUAGUCUUCGUCGGACGCUCAGCUCUGCGGGACGUGGAUGAAGCUGGAAGGCCUCAUUCCCAGCAGAACCACACAGGAAGCGAAAACCAAACACCGCAUGUUCUCGCUCCGAAGUGGGAGUUGAACAGCGAGAACACAUGGGACACGGGGAGGGGAACAUCACACGCCGGGCCCUGACGGGGGCGUGGGGGGCAAGGGGAGAGAGAGCAUUAGGACAAAUAGCCAACGCAUGCGGGGCUUCAAACCUAGACGACUGGUGGAUAGGUGCAGCAAAGCACCGUGGCACACGUGUACCUAUGUUCCAAACCUGCACGUCCUGCACAUGUACCCCAGAACUUGGGAGGGGGUGGGGGAAACCAAAAGAGCGAGGGAGAGGCGGGGGGGGGGGAAGAGAGAGAGAGAGGGAAAGAGAGAGAGAGACAGAGAGAGGAGAGAGAGAGAGAGAGAGAGAGAGAGAGAGAGACAGAGAGAGAGACAGAGAGACAGAGACAGACACAGAGAGACGGAGAGACAGAGAGAGAGAGAGAGAAAGAGAGAGAGAGAGAGAGAGAGAGAGAGAGAGACAGGAGAAAGAAGAACUCCGGGUGGGUCCCAUUCCUUUAAAAGGUCGCCACCCACUCGACUGCCAAGCUGAGAUCCUAAGGACCUCCCCAAAGGAGGAGGUCGUGGCCUUCCCAAAGCGCAGUAGCCACGGUGGAAACGAAAGCGUGCCGCAUAAGCCUACCGUCUACCGCCCGCACAUCAGGAACCUCAAGGUACUUCAGGGAAGCAGUUAAGUCAAGCCGGCGCGUCACAGGCACUCGGCGUGCAAGCCGCCCCGCAGGUGCUACCGUCUCUUACCUCCCUCUACUUUUAGGAAACACGUUGUAUCCCCGGAGGGGGUGCACCGUUCCUGGAGGUACUGCAAUACCAGGUCGAUGCGUGGAGUGGACGGAGCAAGCUCCUAUUCCAUCUCCCUGCUCCAAAAAUCCAUUUAAUAUAUUGUCCUCGGAUAGAGGACGUAUCAGAUAUUAAACUGAUAAGAACAGAUACUACACUUGAUCUUAGCCAAAAGGCCGAGAAGCGAUGCGCUCGCCUUCGCGCCCGCCGUCACCGUCCCACUCUCAUCCACAUUCAAGUCGCGGUGAGAGCCCCAGCCUCGCUCCUUGCCCCAUUCCCUCUGUCUCGUCCACAGCGCUAUUGACGCCCUUACACUCUCGGGCUGAUUUCUUAUUCUCCGCCUUUGAAAAGGGAAAUCUUACACCCGUGCUUCUUCCGGCGUUCCCGGGCUUUCAUUUCGAAUUUGCAUGCCCCGCCCUUUCACAGAGGGCGUGGCCUCCGCCGUUGACUCCGCCCCCGGGGCCGCCUCUGCCUGGGGGAGCCGGGGCUCCGCUGGGGGCGACUUCCUUGUUCGUAUCGAGCCAGCGAAAAGACAGAACCGGAAGAGACCGGGGGCGAAGGCGACAGGGGUCUGUGGAAGAGACCUGUCGGCGGAGAGCGGUCCACGUUUUCCUGGAGAAAGACGAGGCCCCAGGGCAGGAGCGCGGGCUGCGCUGGGCCUUUACUUCGCCGCCCGCGGGCGGGGAGACCGGCCCCGUACCCGAGGGGACGAGGGGACGAGGGGCCCAUGCCCAGUCAGGGAAGCCGAAGGCCUGGAGGGGCUUCCGGGAGCAGGGGCUGGAGUUCCUCUGCCAGGCAGGAGGCUGGCACCAGACACCCGGCAGAGGGAGGCGGCGAGGGCCCAGCAAGGAUUCUCCCCAGCCCCUGUGCCUGCGUCUCCUGCGGCUUCUGUGCGCGGACCGUGUCCUGUGCUGUGUAGGGAACGCUGCCUCUCUGCUCGGGACGUGGAUUCCUUUCCCCUCCUCCUCGCCCGGCUACUUCUGACGCAGGUCGUCAGGACUCCGCUUGGGUGUCACCCGUGCAGGAAGCCUCCCUUAGUCAAGGGCCCUCGGCACCCGCCCCAUAUGUGACUAGCAGCCCUCCUGUGUAUUUCAUCGCGCCCCCGUUGUUUAUAUCAGCCAUUCCACUCACCACCCUUCUGGGCAACCCUUUAUCUCCCGCUCUGAAAUCCCAUCGCUGAGGGCUGGGACCCCUCCUCAGUGCUUAUCCCUGUUUCCCCGCGCGAGUCUGGCGCCUGGCGUGUGGAAGGCGCUCAGUAAACGUUUGUGGAGCGAAGAAACGACGCAAAGGUGAUGAGCACGACGCAGUUAGGAGGCUAUUGGCCCGGCGCGGGGGAAAAGGGGGAAGGUCGGGCUCGGGGUGGCAGGACCCCAGAGGGCAGGGGUGGCUGCCGGGGUGCUCUUGGGGCAAGGUGGGCGUCAAGGCCCCCAGCAAGGUUGGGAUAAAGUUUCUCUCCGAGGCACAGACUGCCGCCUGCGGGCUCAGCAUUUACCUCUCCCUUCCUCUCCUACGCUACUUCAGCGGAGGGCUGAGGGCUCUACUGCGCAUUACCUGGGAAAACCUUUAUUUUAUUAUAUCUGACUAUUAUUAAUCAUUAGUUUGUAGCAUCACUCUUUGUUCUAUUACCAUAAUGAUCUCUGUUCUAUUAUGAUUACCUUGGGGGAAACCAGGCCACACAGAGUUAGGAGCUGAAGGGCCACAGUGAGAGGUGACCAGAAGACGAGAGUGUGAGCCCUCAUUCACGCCCAGAGAAGGGCCGCUGGAGGGCUCCUUGGCCUAGCGGUAAUGCCAGUGCCUGGGAAGGCCCUGGUUACUUAGCAGGCCUUGGUCUAGCGGUGGCCCCAGUGCCUGGGAAGGCACCCGUUACUUAGCAGACCCGGAAAGGGAAUCUCCCUCUCUCCAGGAGAGACAGAGUGUGAGCCACUGUGCCCGGCUGGGAGCAAGACUGGAGCAAGACUCCAUCUCAAAAAAAUAAAAUAAAAUAAAUAAGUGAAUUAAUUAAUUAAAGGCCAGGCAUGGUGGUUCACACUUGUCAACAUUUUGGGAGACUUAGGUGGGAGGAUUGCUUGAGUCCAGGAGUUCCAGACCAGCCAGGGCAACAUAGUGAGACCCUGUCUGUAUUACAAUAAUAAAAUCAAAUAAAGUUUUUAAUUUUUUUUUGAGACAAGAGUCUCACUCUAUCACUCAGGUCAGAGUGCAGUGGCACUAUCUUGGCUCACUGCAACCUCCACCUCACUGAUUCAAGUGAUUCUCAUGCCUCAGUCUCCCCAGGUAGCUGGAAUUCCAGGCAAGCGCCACCAUGCCUAGCUACUUUUUGUACUUUUAGUAGAGACCAGGUUUCGCCAUGUUGGCCAGGCUGGUCUUGAACUCCUGACCUCAACUGAUCCACCCACCUUGGCCUCCCAAAGUGCUGGAUUACAGGUGUGAGCCACCAUGCCCGGCCAAAAUAACAUUUUUAAAAACUAAAUUAAAUUUAUAUAACACUGACCGGGCAUCAUGGCUCAUGCCUGCAAUCCCAGCACUUUGGGAGGCUGAGUUGGGUGGAUCACCUGAGGUCGGGAGUUUGAGACCAGCCUCACCAACAUGGAGAAACCGUGUCUCUACUAAAAAUACAAAAUUAUCUGGGCGUGGUGGCGCAUGCCUGUAAUACCAGCUACUCGGGAGGCUGAGGCAGGAGAAUCACUUGAACCCGGGAGGCAGAGGUUGUGGUGAGCCAAGAUUGCACCAUUGCACUCCAGCCUGGGCAACAAGAGCAAAACUCCAUCUCAAAAAAAAAAAAAAAAAUUUGGUUCCUCAGUCACACUCCAAGGCUCAAUAUAGCAUACAGGCUGGGGGUUACCCUAUUGGACAGAACAUCUUUAAACCUCCCAGGCCUAGUACCCUUGCCUUCCCCUAGACUAUUACAAGAGGGAAAUUGAGUCAGCUGAUAGUGGUCCCCCCAACACAGACACAGUCUAUCUGAGAGAACGCCAAAUGACCUUGCUUUCCUCCUACCCCCAGCAAACAGCAUUCACCAAAUAGUAGGCAGCUUCCUAGGGAUCUCUCUCCAUUCUCCAUUCCCUUCCUGCUCCAGAGAGGACCCUGAAGAACCCAGCCUAUCCCAUGCACCUGUUCUUUCUGCUGCAGCUCCUGCUGCUGCUGGGCCAUCAGCCAUCUCCUUCGGUCCAAAGCCAUCUGCCGGCGCCGGGCCUCCCAGUGGUCUCCGGAAUUACCUUUUUCUCCUUAAUCUCUCCUCUCUCCAUCUCCCCCAUAAAUGUCUGUGCUGAGUCAGAAUGAAAGAAAAUACAAAAUCCUACUAAGCCUCACUGAGGUCUGAGCCCCCAGAACGCAAAGGGGCUUCUUAGAAAACACCCUAGCUCUGGAGAUUUCUAAUUCUGGACUCAAGCCUAGCGUCUACCUCUUAAUUUUAUUUUCAUUUUAUUUUUUAUUUUUUGAGAUGGAGUUUCACUCUUGUUGCCCAGGCUGGAGUGCAAUGGCGCAAUCUCGGCUCACUGCAACCUCCGCCUCCCAGGUUCAAGAGAUUCUCCUACCUCAGCCUCCCAAGUAGCUAGGAUUACAGGCAUGCACCACCAUGCCCGGAUAAUUUUUGUAUUUUUAGUAGAGACAGGGUUUCUCCACGUUGGUCAGGCUGAUCUCAAACUCCAGACCUCAGGUGAUCCGCCCGCCUCAGCCUCCCAAAGUGCUGGGAUUACAGGUGUGAGCCACCACGCCCAGCCUGGGACUGUGCAUUUAAGAUCACCCCAAGUGGCUGGGCACAGUGGCCUCUGCCUCCUGGGUUCAAGCAAACAAAAAGAAAGAGCCUAGGCAACCUAGUGAAACCCUGUUCGGGCUGCGGCCUAUCUGUACCCCAGCUAUUCCAGAGGCUGAGGCAGGAGGGUGGAUGGAUGCUGGGAGGUGGAUGCUGCAGUGAGCAGUGAUUGCACCACUGCACUCCAGCCUGGGUGACAGAGCCAGACCCCGUCCCAAAUAAAUAAAAAUAAAGGAACCAGUUUGUAGAAAGCAGGAGAGGGUCCCAUUGAACUUCAAGCCUUCAAGCUACAGCUGUGGCUGGACAGGUUGGACCAGCAGGCUGGAGCAGUCGCCAUCUUGGCAGGGAUCAUUGACCCUGAUCUAUCAUCGGGAGGAAGAAGAGCUGAUCUUAUGCAGGGAGGGCAGGUGGACUAUGUGUGGACUCUGGUGAUCUGUUUGGGUGCCAGGUGUUACUCCCAGGGCCACCCAUAACUGUGAAUGUGCAGGAACCCUGACUUAGGUUCCUGGGGAAUGAGAGUUUGGUUCCCGGUACCCAGGGAAACCACCAGCAUCGGCAGAGGUGAUAGCUGGGGAGGAGCGGGGAUUUGGACGAGAGACACAGGAUGAGUACCGGGGGCAGCCCUGUGAUCAACAACUGCUGCAAGAGGGGCCGUUUGUUCGACUCACUAGUCUUCUGUGGCUCUAUGCGGUACUAAAGAGCAGAAGACAGAAGAUACAAAAACCACAAAAAUUAGCCGGGCGUGGUGCUGCGCGUCAAUAAUCCCAGCUACUCGGGAGGCUGAGACGGGAGAAUCGCUUGAAUCCGGGAGGUGGAAGUUUCAGCGAGCUGAGAUCACGCCAUUGCAGUCCAACCUGAGCGUCCGAGCGAGACUAUCUCAGAAAGUAAAGACAGAAUUAAAGUGCCCAGCGCAGUGGCUCACGCCUGUAAUCCCAGCGCUUUGGGAGGCCGAGGCGGGCAGAUCACCUGAAGUCAGGAGUUCGAGACCAGCCUGGCCAACUUGGCGAGACCUCCUUAAAAAUACAAAAAUUAGCUGGGCGUGGUGGCGAACACCUGUAAUCCCAGCUACCCAAGGAGGCUGAGGCAGGAGAAUCACUGGAACCCGGGAGGCAGAGGCUGCAGUGAGCCGAGAUCGCGCCACUGCACUCCAGCCUGGGUGACAGAGCAAGACUUUGUCUCUGAAAAAAAAAAAAAAAAAAAAGCAUGGGCGCGGUGGCUCAUGCCUGUAAUCCCAGCACUUUGGGAGGCUGAGGCGGGCAGAUCAUGAGGUCAGGAGAUCGAGACCAUCCUGGCUAACACGGUGAAUCCCCGUCUCUACUAAAAGUACAAAAAAAUUAGCCAGACGUGGUGGCAGGUGCCUGUCGUCUCAGCUACUUGGGAGGCUGAGGCAGAAGAAUGGCGCGAACCCAGGAGGUGGAGCUUGCAGUGAGCCGAGAUGCGCCACUGCACUCCAGCCUCAGCGACAGAGUGAGACUCCGUCUCAAAAAAAAAAAAAAAAAAAAAAGCUUGGGCCAGUGGCUCACACCUGUAAUCCCAGCACUUUGGGAGGCGGCAGGCAGGCGGAUCACCAGAGGUUGGGAGUUGGAGACCAGCCUGACCAACAUGGAGAAACCCCAUCUGUACUAAAAAGCCUCUGAGGAAGAGUGGGGGAAAGAAGCCAGAGAGAAAAGACUUUACUGCUGAAUUGUCCAUGGGGCCCACUGAGACUCAAAGCUAAGGUGGGAAGGUCUUCUAUCUGAUCAGGACCCAGGAGAGAAAGGUACUUUGCAGAUGUUCCCUGGGAGCCUUGGGAAAAAUGCCUCCCUCCCUCAACAAAGCAGGCGGGGCCUGCCCAGUUGCCCUGGCAGUAACCACAUUGUGAGGUGGUUCCAGUUAUAGGCAGAGGGGUCUGAGUGGGAAGAGACAGAGGUGGUGGGAGCAGUGGGCUCUGUCUGUCCCCACCCCCACCUGGGGCCUCACCCCACCUCUUCCUAUAAUCCUGGAGACCCUCCCUAAUCUGUCUGGACCUCAGUUUCCUUGCCUGAAGAAUAAGUGAUAACUUGUUACCUUCUUUCACAUAGCUGGUAUAAGGAUCAAAUAGAAUAAUGGAUGGGAAAUAAAAGAUAAAGUAUAAAAUUGUUUAGCUACAGGUUGGUAUUAUUAUCCUACCUGACCCUUCCAAGGACUGUGUCCUCAGUAGGUGGAGUGAACAGGUGAGAGGAUUAUUCUCUGAAGCCCAGGAAGGCUUUUGGGGAUAGAGACUGUGCAUUUAAUUUUUUAAUUUUUAAAUUUUAUUUUUAUUGUAUUUUUUGUUUUUUGAGACGGAGUUUCACUCUUGUUGCCCAGGCUGGAGUGCAAUGGCAUGAUCUUGGCUCACCGCAACCUCCGCCACCCUGGUUCAAGCAAGUCCUGCAAGUGAUCCGCCCGCCUCGGCCUCCCAAAGUGCUGGGAUUACAGGCGCGAGCCACCACGCCUGGCCUGGGACUGUGCAUUUAAGAUCACCCAAAGUGGCUGGGCGAGGUGGUAAUCCCAGCACACUGGGAGGCCAAGGUGGGCAGAUCAUGAGGUCAGGAGAUCAAGACCAUCCUGGCUAACAUGGUGAAACCCCGUUUCUGCUAAAAAUACAAAAAAUUAGCCGAGUGUGGUGGCACAUGCCUGUAGUCCCAGCUACUCAGGAGGCUGAAGCAGAAGAAUUGCUUGAACCUGGGAGGCGGAGGUUGCAGUGAGCCGAGAUAGCGCCACUGCACUCCAGCCUAGGUGACAGAGCAAGACUCCAUCUCAGAAAAAAAAAAAAAAAAAAAUUAGCCGGGCAUGGUGGCGGCCGCCUGUAAUCCCAGCUACUUGGGAGGCUGAGGCAGGAGAAUCGCUUGAACCCAGGAGGUGGAGGUUGCUGUGAGCCAAGAUUGCACCACUGUACUCCAACCUGGGUGACAGAGCAAGACUCUGUCAAACAAACAAACAAACAAACAAAUAAAGCCUGUAGGCUGGGACAUUGGCUCAUGCGUGUAAUCCCAGCACUUUUGGAGGUGAAGGUGGGAAGAUUGUUGGAGCCCAGGAGUUCCAGACUAGCCUGGGCAACAUAGACACGACAUAUCAACUGGCAUGCCCACCCCACCAUUUCCCAACCCCCAUCUCUACAAAAAAUAAAGCAAGUUUGUUGUUAUUCAAGACCCAGAAUCUUCUGUUUUGGAAGAAGCAAAGUGUGGUUAGAAGCACAAGCAGGGCCGGGCAUGGUGGCUCACGCCUGUAAUUCCAGCACUUUGGGAGGCCAAGGCAGGUGGAUCACCUAAGGUCAAGAGAUCAAGACCAGCCAGGCCAACAUAGUGAAACCCCGUCUCUACUAAACCCCCCGUCUCUACUAAAAACCCCCCGUCUCUACUGAAAAACCCCGUCUCUACUGAAACCCCCCGUCUCUACUAAAAAUACAAAAAAAUUAGCUGGGCGUGCUGGCGGGCGCCUGUAAUCCCAGCUACUCAAGAGGCUGAGGC
rnacentral:lncRNA from 10 species